AACAAAACAACAUGUCGGUGUCCCAGUACGAGGUGAAGUUUGCAGAGUUAUCCAGGUUUGCACCUCAUUUGGUUGAGAAUGAGGAACGAAUGACGAGGAUGUUUCUGAGAGGUCUAAAACCCGAGAUCCGACAUUAUCUUAUCUCUCAUAAAUUUUCUUUAUAUUCAGAUGUUGUAAACAGGGCUCAAUUAUUAGAGCGAGAUAAUGAGUAUGUUCAAGGCGGUAGUCAUCGGUGCAAUGAAAACCAGCAAGGAGGAAAACAUUUGGACAAAAGCGGUAACCACUCUGGUGGUAAUCGUGGCCGUGAUAAUAGAAGGAGCAAGUCAGGAGGAGGUUUUAAGAAGAGAAGGUACAACAAUGACAACGUAAAGAAGUCAGCACAAACAUCAACUAUUUUUAGGGGAGGAGAACGAGCACCGGUUGUUUGUUACAAAUGCGGGAAAGAGGGACACAUCAGCCCAAAUUGCCCACAACAAUCCAAGGUGUGUUAUAACUGUGGAAAGGAAGGUCAUAUAGCUAGAGAUUGUCUAGUUGCGAAACCAAGUUCAACGGGGAUGGUGACUCCAAAGGCUGUCUCGGACAAGUCAAAGUCGGUGUUUCCAGGAAGGGCGUUUGUCGUGACUGCCCAAAACCCGAGGAACCCAAACGAGGUGAUCACGGGUAAGCUAAUCAUAAAAUCUUGUGAAGUUUAUACCUUAUUAGAUACCUGUUCUACCCAUUCUUUUAUCUCUCCUGCUUGUGCUCAACAUUUAAACUUGACUUCGGAGAAGUUAGACCUUGACUUAUCUGUUGAGACUCCGUUAGGAGAAACUUUCGUUACAUCUACUGUUUAUAAUUCUUGCUUGAUUCAAGUUGGUACCAUCACAUUACCUGCCGAUCUUAUUUCGUUGAAAAUUCUUGCAUUUGAUGUGAUUUUAGGGAUUGAUUGGUUAACCACUCAUCAUGCUAAAAUUGAUUAUUUUCGUAAGGUUGUCAGUUUUCAUAUUCCUAACCAACCUGUUAUGUGAAUUCAAACAACCAAACCACUAAAAUCAAUCACUGUCAUAUCAAGCCAUAAAGCUAUUCGUUUAUUGAAAAAUAGAUGUCAAUCUUUCUUAGCCCAUGUCACAGACUUGAACAAAAACACGUCAAAUUUGAAUAAUAUUUCUGUUGUUAGUGAAUUUCCUGACGUAUUUCCUGAAGAACUUCUUGGUCUACCCCCCCAGAACGUGAAGUUGAAUUCUUUAUUGACCUUGAACCUGGUACAAAGCCCAUUUCUAUAAUCCCAUAUCGAAUGGCUCCUAUUGAACUUCAGGAGUUAAAGGUCCAACUGCAGGAGUUGUUGGACAUCGGUUUCAUUCGUCCUAGUACAUCUCCUUGGGGUGCUCCUGUGUUAUUUGUAAAGAAGAAAGACGGGAGUAUGCGACUUUGUAUUGACUAUCGAGAAUUGAACCAUGUCACUAUCAAGAAUAGGUAUCCGCUACCUCACAUUGAUGACUUGUUUGACCAGUUGCAAGGAGAACAAUUCUUUUUAAAGAUCUAUCUUUGUUCUAGAUAUCAUCAGCUGAAGAUUAAAACUGAAGAUAUUCCAAAGACUGCCUUCAGAACUUGGUACGGUUAUUAUGAAUUCUUAGUUAUGUCUUUUGGAUUGACUAAUGCUCCUGCUGCUUUCAUGGAUAUAAUGAACCGUGUAUUCAGAAUGAGUUCUUAAAACUCAUACUUAUGUGACAUUCUUGAUUCAUAGUUAUAUGAAAUAUUUAUGAACCCCUCAGCGAAUGGACGCCAAAGGUCUGUCUAGGAAAGUUCUUAAACUCAUAUGAUUGUGGCAAUUUAUGGACUCAUAAGUGUGGUUUGACGAGCUGGGCAUAGUUGUGUGUGAAUGGAGAAAUGAGGAUUAUAGGAACAGAUAGAUUGUUAAACAAAUGAUUAUUAAUGGAGACAUAAGUUUUCCAAAACUCCUAGCUAUGCUAGACUUCAAAAUUUUGACAUCAAGCUAAAUACACACUAUGUGCUUUAAAAAAAAAUGUUGACUCAUAAUCAUUUUUGAAACGGUUUAAAGUAUAUUCUAUGCUACUUAUUUUAGCUAGACGCAAAUGAUUUGAAAUAUCAAAAUAUAUUUUAUUUAUCACUCAUGUACCAUGUAACCUGGUGCAGAGAUGAUAAAAAGUUAAUGGAGUUGUAAAUACAGGAAUACUUUGUGUGAAUUUUAUCUAAAGUCAUUUUUCCACUAUUGUAUGAUGUGUUAUGACAAAGUCAUAUAAUGACGGCAUCCUCAAAUGGACUGUUACUACAGUACGACAUCAUGACGUCAUUCUCAAAAAUAUUUUCAAAAAUUUUAAUUUUCCAACGGGGUUUGGCUACACCUAAAUAAUUCAGCUAGACCAAUGCUUAUGAAAACUGUAAGAGUUCUUUGAAAACUUUUCCGCACCAAAUUAUUUUGGUGCGGAAUCCAAUAAGACUGAGGUAAAAGUUUAUGUGCCCAAGGCGGAUACGAGAAACAGAUCAGACCAGAAGUACUUUAUAAGUACAGGGCAUAUCGGGCUAAUUACCCACUAUGUCCGUAAGUUAAGAUGAUAUGCAGAUGAAUUUCCAUAAAAACCUUUGCGAAAAUGACAGACAAUAGUCUGUAAAACCCAUCAGCACAAUUGAAUUAUUUUUUCUUGUGAGGAAUGUAUUGGGUAACAUGUAAGGCUGAGUAUGAAUGGUGUAUGGUGUAUGUUGUAAGGUGUAAGGUAAAUUUCGGGGACGAAAUUUUUAGAAGAAGGGGUGAAUGUGACAACCCGAGAAUUUAGAAAAUUUUUAAAAUCUUAAUUAAUUGGUUUAAGGUUCAAUAUUAGAACCUAGACAGAAAACAAGUGUAUACGUUUGAUAUUUUUAAGAAGGAAUUUUGAGGAUUUCAAAAUUCUGUGAAGGAUUUAGGUGAAUUAUUCAGGAUUAAGGGUAUACGUGACUAUGUUCUGUGUAUAUGGUUAUAUAUGUGUACAAUAUGUGGUUAAGGGUCAAGGGUUGACCAGAUAAACCCUAGGUAUAUAUUAAGAACGUUAACGUUCGGUUAGAAAAAUUCUAGCGAUUAACAAGAAACCUUAGAAACCGGUUCUGGAAACCAUAAUUUUAGUUCCGGGAAUUCGAAACCCUAAUUCGGUGUAUGAAACCCUAAAUUGAGAAUGUGGAUGUUAGUAUAAGGUUUAACGUUAUUAAAUAUAACUUAAUUAGGGAACCCUAAAGAUUUAAUGGAAACCCUAAUAAUUAGAAAACCUAAUUAUUAGAAACCCUAAUUUAUAAAUAGGGAAAAACCUAAGUAUUAAUUUAAUAAUUUUAAUGUUAAUUAGGAAAUAUUAAUCCUAAUUUUAAAGUUAUAAGUAAUUAGGAAAUCCUAAUCUAAUUACGAAAUCUAAUUUCUAAAUUAGAAAAUUAUUUUUCUAUUAGAAACCCUAAUUUCUGGGUUAUAAACCCUAAUGACCAUUUUGACCCUAAUUGCUUAAUUAGCAAUUUUAAUUAGGAUAUAUUAAUCCUAAUUAGCAAGAUUGAAUUAUGAUUAGGAAAUUUUAAUAUAAUUAGAAAAUUCUAUUUAUAAUAUAGAGAUAUUAAUUUUCUAUUUUUAAAAACCUAAUUUGGAAAUUCUAGAAUUUAUUUUCAAAACCCUAAGGAUUUCCAAACCCUAAACGUUAAGGGUUUGCAUCAAAUGACAAUUCUAGAAAUAAAAUUUAAUGGAAAUGAUUAAAAUGCCCUUUUGUGCAUUAUUGGAGGAAACUUGCAAUCUUGCCAAUAUAUGGAGUGGUUGAGCAACCUAGAUCAGCCAUUGACUAACUUAUAUAACAUAUCAGCAGCUAGCUCAGCCCCUUUCAUUGUAUCAUAUUGAUAAGUGGGUUUUAUAGCUACUGAUUGAAUACCAAUUCACGCGCACUAUGCCCAUCUCAAGUACAUUUUAGUGUAUUUUUAGUUGCCUUUCAUGUUAUUUUGCAUUGCAUUUAAUUGAAACUCCUUUUGGUGAAAAAGUGCAGGAAACUGCCUAAUUUAGAGGAAUUAGAAGGCACGAGGUGAAUGGACGCAUGAAGCGAGGCACAAGCUGGGAUAUGCAUGGCAUGGGGAUCAAGUGGAGAAGAAAACUAAGCAUGGAUGGACAAAGGCAGGAGCAGCGGAACAGAUCAGUUGUAGCAGCAGAACCAAAACUCAAAAUUGCAGAAGCCGCGCGGCAGGACAAGCUUGGGAAUGCGCGCCCAUGCGAGCACUCGGAUGGACAACAUGACACACUGCAAGUUGUGCACCUGCGCGAGAAUUACACUGGGGGAGUGCGCGACCGCGCGCGAUGCUGAUUAAUGCUGAUUUGUUUUAUUUUAACUUUUAAUUAAAAAGGUUGUAAUUGGUUUUAAACGAUUUCUGACUGGUGUCAGACGCAUCAUCAUUAUUCAGUUUUACUUAUUUUCAUUUUUUGAAACUAGGGUUUUACACUCUGAGAGAGAUUCCAACGUGUAACGAAGCCAAAACUCUAUUUUUCUAAUUCUUCUUGGGAUUCUCUAUCAGUGUGGAUUUUUAUUAGUAGUUGCUCGAUUUAUAUGAGGAUCUGAACGUUAAUAGUGGAUUGUAAUCAACAAUUGGUUUGAUUGUUUCUAUCUUUCAUCUUUCAAUUGUUUGCUUAUUAGCCAUGUUUAGCCUUGAUCCCAUAAUGGCUUUUGGUUCAGUCAUGAACUAAACUCCAUUAUGGGAUUCUAACGGAUUUUAAUAUGUAGUUUGGUUGCAUGCUUAAAUGCUGGACUGUUUUACAUAUCAUAUGGGAUUUCUAUCAUGAUUAUUUUACAUGUAUGAAUGCUUGAUCACCAUUCGCUCUUAGUACUUGUAUGGAAUUGACAAUGAACAUGCAAGUAUGGUUUGUAAUCAUGAUAGCAUACGUAUAUAGGGCUGUUUUGUAUGGCUUAUGUAUUUCGUGAACCAGAUAGACAUAUAUUGUUUCACCGUAUGAGUUAGAAUAAGGGCUUGUGCUUAAAUUCAAUUUAAUUGCAAUUUCACAUAGACAUAUAGUGAUGUUGCUUAUAUUGAUGAUUACAUAGAGUCUAUCGCUUGUGGAUGAUGUGCAAGUAGGUCAUAAUACAUUGAAAAAUGGCUAUGACUCUUUUAGUGCUCUUGGUUACUUUCCUGUGAUAUGUGAACAAGUCUUGCAUGAUAGUUGUGAUUAAAUGAAAUAUUAAAUGAAGUUAGGAUCCCAUUACUUUCAGAUUUGAUUUAUUACAUCUUAUUUAUUGUUUUAGUCAUUAUUUGCGAUUAGAGUGACAAACCAAUUAUAGUCAUUAGUUUGAGCAUAUAAAUAUAGUGAUUUAAUUGAUGCAUAAUAAUUUUAAUUAAACAACUUUCCCUGUGGGAUCGAUACUUUACUUGCUCUGUAUUACUUGUUGACACAUGUAUGCUUGCAUGAGUUAGAGCUCUUUUGUAGAACUAAAAAAGAGGGAACAAGUUUUUGGUCGUUGCCGGGGAAAGGCGUUUAAAUUAUUAUUAUUAUUAUCAUUAGUUUUAAGCUAUAUUGUAUGACUUAGACAAACAAAUCUAUUCGUAUCUCAUUUCCAUUUUUAUUUUUGUUUCAGGAACUUGUAUAAAUUUUUAUGCGCACGCGGUCAUCUAACCCCGACUUAACACCUGUUCAGGACAACAUAAAUGGGAGAGGUUGGAAAGCGAGUGUUCGUAUAAAUUUACAAGCACAGUUAGAAAGCACUACAACUAAUAUGGCAGCCGAGGUACAAGGAGAAGAGAAAAGAGAGGAGCAUAGAGCUCUGAAGGAAUAUUCCAUGCCCAAUAUUAAUGGAUUACAGUCUAGCAUCGUAAGACCAGCGAUAGCAAUCAAUACAUUCGAGAUAAAAAUGGGAACUAUUCAGAUGGUACAAAAUUCGGUACAGUUUGGGGGUGCCGCUACAGAUGAUCUAAAUGAACACCUGUUGAGUUUCAUCGAAAUUUGUGAUACAUUCAGAUACAACGGUGUGAUGGAGGAUGCUAUCAGACUUAGGCUAUUCCCAUUCUCAUUGAGGUAUAAAGCAAGAAGUUGGCUACAUUCUCUGCCAGCAGGAUCUAUAACUACAUGGGAGGACUUAGCAUAGAAAUUCUUAGCCAAGUUCUUCCCAAUGGCUAAGACUGCAAAGAUGAGGACAACUAUCUCUUAGUUUGAGCAACAAUAGGGAGAGUCCUUAUAUGAAGCAUAGGAGAGAUAUAAAGAGAUGCUGAGAAAGUGUCCACAUCAUGGUAUGCCAGAUUGGAUGGUGAUCAACACAUUUUAUAAUGGAUUGGGAUGGCAGUCGAGACCGAUUGUAGAUGCAGCUGCAGGAGGGGAAUUAUGGGCAAAAAGCUAUGAGGAAGCCUAUAACCUUAUCGAGACAAUGUCAUCAAACAAUUUUCAGAAUCCUACAUCUCAAAUGCCACAACCCAAGGUUGCAGGUGUGUUGGAAGUAGAUGCUAUCAUGCAGUUGUCAGCAUAAAUGGCAGCCAUGGCGAAGAAAAUAGAUACAUUAGCAUAAGGUAAAACGAAGACGGUUGCCUUCAUAUGUGAGAUUUGUGUGGGGUCAUACUCGACAGAUCAAUAUGCUAUCUGCUCAGAGUCGGUACAGUUUGUGAGCAAUUACAGAAAAGACCAAGGUCAGUUUCAGAACACAUACCACCCCAACAACCGAAAUCAUCCAAACUUUACUUGGUCAAAUAACCAAGGGAAUCAGCAGAAUUAGUUUCAAACAAAUAAUCAGUUUCAGACACAACCAGCGCAGCCACAGUUUAAUCCUAGACCACCUUUUCCGUCGGGAUUUUCUCAACAACAACAACAUCACACUCCAGCUGCACCUCAGCAAGAAAAGAAAUCAGAAAUGGAGGAGAUGAUGAUGAAAUACAUGUCAAAUACAGAAGUUGUGAUUAUAAGGCAAGAAGUGGCUAUUGAGAAUUUGAAACUCAAAUGGGGAAGAUGGCGAACAUGCUUACCAACAGGCCCCAGGGUUCAUUGCCGAGUAAUACAUAAACAAAUCCAUGAAGAGACAAGAAGGAACAGUGUCAAGCUAUCACAUUGAGGUAUGGGAAAAACACUACAGACACUGCAAGACGCGCGCCCGCGCCCAAUUGUACUAAGGAGGAUGCGCGGCUGCGCGAGGCAGAGCAGUCAGUUGCUAAAGAAGAAAAUAUGGAAAAGUCUGAGGUUCAGCAGGAAGAGAAAGAUAAAGCAGGUUCAGAGGAGAAGCUUAAGAGUUCAAUACCACCAAUUCACCCUCUAGUUCCGUAUCCACAAAGAUUAAAUAAGCAAAGGGAAGAUAAACAAUUCAACAAGUUUCUGGAGAUAUUUAAAAAGCUGCCAAUCAAUAUACCUUUUGUCGAGGCAUUGGAACAAAUGCCAAGCUAUGCAAAGUUCGUGAAGGGUAUACUGUUAAGGAAGAGGAGAUUAGACGAAUUUGAGACAGUAGCCUUGAAAGAAGAAUGCAGUGCAGUUCUUCAGCAAACGUUACCUCCGAAGCUGAAGGAUCUGGGCAGUUUCACAAUCCCGUGCACAAUCGGGAAGAUGAAUUUUGAAAAAUGUUUGUGUGAUCUUGGGGCAAGUAUCAAUCUGAUGCCCUUGUCAUUGUUCAACCAAUUGGGAUUACCGGAUCCAAGGCUAACAAACAUUUCUUUGCAGCUAGCUGACAGAUCCAUCACGUAUCCACGGGGAAUUGUUGAAGAUAUAUUAGUGAAGGUGGACAGAUUUAUCUUUCCGGCUGACUUCAUCAUUUUGGAUUACGAGGAAGAUAAAAAUAUACCAAUGUGCAGAAGGGGGAACUCACUAUGCUUGUUCAUGAUCAAGAGGUUACCUUUAAUGUCUUCAAAGCUAUGAGGUUUCCAACAGAUGAAGAGGAAUGUUUCCUGGUUGAUUUGGUGGAUCAGGUCGUAAAGAAGAAGUACAGAGUCUAGUGGAUGAUGAACCUUUGAGGAGUGUAAUUGCUAAAAAUUCAGAUUUGGAGGACGAGGAACUUGACGAACUUGUGAAAUAUCUGGAUACCACUCCACAAGUUAGAAAAUUCAGAACACCUGUUGAGCCAUUGACAAAAGCUGGAGAAUCCUUAGUAAAAUUAAAGCCAUCUCUUGAGAUACCUCCAGAACUUGAAUUAAAACCACUUCCAGAACAUCUCAGGUACACAUUUUUAAAUAAAGAUUCAAAGCUACCUGUGAUUAUUUCUUCUGCAUUAACAUCUUUUCAGGAAGAAAAACUGCUACGAGUGCUUCGAGAGUUCAAAUCAGCUAUUGGCUGGACCAUAGCAGAUAUCAAAGGGAUCAGCCCUUCAUUUUGCAUGCAUAAGAUCCUGAUGGAAGAUGAGAGUAAGCCGUCGGUUGAGCAACAAAGGAGACUUAAUCCGAUAAUGAAAGAAGUGGUUAAGAAAUAGGUACUGAAAUGGCUGGAUGUAGGCAUAAUCUAUCCGAUCUCAGACAGCUCAUGGGUGAGCCCAGUGCAGUGUGUACUGAAAAAGGGUGGCAUGACCGUAGUGACUAAUGAGAAUAAUGAGUUGAUUCUAACACGAACAGUGACAAGGUGUAGAGUCUGCAUGGAAUACCGCAGGCUCAACAAAGCUACAAGGAAAGAUCAUUUUCCACUCCCAUUCAUUGAUCAGAUGUUGGACAGAUUAGCAGGUCAUGAGUACUAUUUCCUUCUGGACGGAUAUUCGGGCUAUAAUCAAAUCAUGAUAGCUCCAGAAGACCAGGAAAAGACAACUUUCACAUGUCCUUACGACACAUUCGCCUUUAGAAGGAUGUCCUUUGGGUUGUGCAAUGCUCCAGCCACCUUUCAGAGAUGCAUGAUGGCUAUAUUUUUAGAUAUGGUGGAGCAGAAUGUAGAAGUAUUUAUGGAUGACUUCUCAGUCUUUGAGGACUCGUUUGAUCUAUGCCUUGAGAAUUUGGUGAUGGUUUUGAAGCGGUGUGUUGAAACAAAUCUAGUACUGAACUAAGAAAAGUGUCAUUUUAUGGUACAAGAAGGAAUCAUACUGGGACACAAAGUGUCGAAGAAGGGGCUCGAGGUAGAUAGGGAAAAGCUGGAAACUAUAGAGAAAUUGCCACCACCUACUUCGGUAAAAGGUGUUCGCAGCUUUGUGGGACAUGCAGGUUUAUACCACAGAUUUAUCAAGGACUUCUCCAAGAUAACUAAACCAUUAUGCAGUUUAUUUGAGAAGGAUGCGCAGUUUAACUUUGAUGAGGCUUGCGUGUCGGCAUUUGAGCACCUAAAAGGGAAAUUAACAUCAGCACCAAUUAUUACUGUACCAGAUUGGGAUGUGCCAUUUGAGCUGAUGUGUGAUGCCAGUGAUUACGCCGUAGGAACUGCUUUGGGGCAAAGGAAAGAGAAGAUGUUUCAUGUGAUUUAUUAUGCCAGCAAGACCCUUACAGAUGCACAGUUGAACUACACCACCAUAGAGAAAGAGUUAUUAGUAGUGGUGUACGCCUUUGAUAAAUUUUGAGCAUAUUUGAUUAGCACAAAGGUGAUAGUGUAUACGGAUCAUGCAGCAAUUCGACAUUUAGUGGCGAAGAAGGAUGCAAAGCCCCGGUUGAUCAGAUGGAUUUUAUUACUGCAGGAAUUUGAUUUGGAGAUCAAGGAUAGGAAGGGCACUGAAAACCAAGUGGCGGACCACUUAUCUCGACUUGAGAAUCCGGAAAGGGAGGCAGACGACAAGGUCCUAAUCAAUGAAUCUUUUUUAGAUGAGCAAUUGUUUGUGGUGAAAAGGGAAGUGCCAUGGUUUGCAGACUAUGCGAACUAUUUGGUGAGUAAGAUGGCACCUUUUGACUUGGUGGGUUAUCAAAAGAAAAAAUUUCUGCAUGAUGUCAAAUGGUAUAUAUGGGAUGAGCCUUAUUUGUUUAAACAGUGUUCUGAUCAAGUGAUAAGAAGGUGUAUUCCGUAUAGCGAGACCGAGGGGAUUCUGCAGGAUUGUCAAUCUACUGUGUACGGAGGUCACUAUGGUGGUGAAAGAACAUCGGCUAGAAUACUACAAGCAUGAUUCUACUGGCCAAAAAUUUUCAAGGAUGCGUACAGUUUUGUCCAGCGGUGUGAUAGAUGUCAGCGAGCGGGGAACAUCUCCAAAAGAAAUGAAAUGCCAUUGAAUACAAUCCUUGAAGUAGAAAAUUUUGAUGUGUGGGGAAUUGAUUUCAUGGGGCCUUUUGUUUCUUCCUGCGGAAAUCUCUACAUCCUGGUAGCCGUGGAUUAUGUCUCGAAAUGGGUAGAAGUGGCAGCUCUUCCGACAAAUGAUGCCAAGGUCGUCCUCCGGUUUUUACACAGAAGUAUCUUCACGAGGUUUGGGACUCCAAGGGCUAUCAUCAGUGACGAAGGUAGUCAUUUCAGCAACAGGCAAUUUACAGCUUUGUUGGCCAAAUAUGGGGUGAACCAUCGCAUUGCUACAGCGUAUCACCCACAAAUGAAUGGCCAAGCUGAAGUGUCGAAUCGAGAAGUUAAGAGAAUACUGGAAAAAGUUGUGAAUCCAAUGAGGAAGGACUUGUCUUUAAAGUUGGAUGAUACAGUAUGGGCCUAUAGGACGCCAUAUAAGACGCUGUUGGGUAUGUCACCCUUUCAGCUCGUGUAUAGAAAAGCCUGUCACCUUCCUAUGGAAUUAGAGCAUAAGGCAUAUUGGGCAAUUCGAAAGCUCAAUUUUGAUUUGAAAGUUGUCGGGGAGAAACGCCUACUCCAACUCAAUGAGUUGGAUGAAUUCAGAUUAUAUGCAUAUAAGAAUUCGAAGAUGUACAAGGAGAAGGUGAAGAAAUGGCAUGACCAAAAAAUCAUUGAGAGAGCAUUUGAACCGGGACAAAGGGUUUUGCUUUAUAACUCCAGACUUAAACUUUUUCCCGGGAAGCUGAAAUCGAGGUGGUCAGGGCCAUUUACAGUGAAAACUAUUUUUUUGCAUGGUGCAAUUGAAGUAUUCGAUACUUUGCCAGACAAGCCUUUUAAGGUGAAUGGACAGCGCUUGAAGCAUUACUUUGGUGGUGAGGUAGACAGACAGAAAGUCGCCUCAAUUCUUUUGUCGACAUGAGCAUCCGAGAUAGUCAAGCUAAUUGACUAUAACUUAGCGCUUGAUGGGAGACAACCCAUUAUCUCUAUCUCUAUUUUCUUUUUAUUUAUUCAGUAGGGUAUUUAUCUAGUUCAUCUUUAUUUCAUUCUUAAUAGACGGCUAUGUUGAGCAGAAGUUAGUGUGUAAUAGAGUCUGCAUUGGAUAGUGUUUUAGUAUUGUAUACACUUUACUUGUUCAUUUAUGCUUAUUCCAGAGUUCAAACAUUGAUACGGGUAAAUGGUGUGAUGUAGGUAUCUUUAAGUGAAAUCUCACUGCUAGGCAGUUUGGGAGUAACCUCAUCAGUGCAUGAAGCAGGGUCGCGCAGCCGCGCAAUGACCAUAACACAAGACAGCGCGUCCAUGUGCUACGCAUAUCAGAUAAGUCUGGCCACUCGCGCACCCGCGCCUGAAAACCAUUUCAAGGGCGUGCGGCCGCGCACGACAUCAGGCGUGAAUUUUUUUUUUUUUAAGUUUAAAAGCAGAAACUGCAUCGGGUUUUAUUUGGUCUCUCACUUGCCAUAAUAGAAGUAUAUUAUUCUGUUCUCCCAUAAUCAUAAGACUCCUAAGCUCUCCUCAAAGUUCAUACCCACGACUCUCUUCUCUGGCAUAAAUCUAGGGUUUCUACUUAGGUUGUGCAGUAGUAAGUUUGGUGGUAUGCUCAUCAACCAAUUCAUCUGCAUUCUCUCUAUCAUCCGCACAUGGGUCCAAAAAGAGCACACUCAAUCUCCAUCUCUUCUUCAUCAGCAUCUUCCUCCAAUAACCAAGAAGAGGAUGUCGUGGACUAUAGGAAAUUUAUCAGUUUGGAGGCCCAACAGGACUAUUAUCGGAUUGUGGCCAAACCUUUUGUGAAGGAACGGGGACUUCUACCUGAGAAGCAAGAUGGCCAACUCUGGUAUAUGAUACGAGAAAGAGGCUGGGUUGGCUUGACUGCAUCUCCUAUACCUAUCCCCAUCGGGAUUGUUCGAGAAUUCUAUGCGAAUGCUAAGGAAAUGAUAAUAGCAGGCAUAACGCUGGUUCGAGGAGUGCAUGUGGAUUUUCAACCCCCAACAAUUAGAGCAGUUUUCAACAUACAUGACGCACCACCCACCGGGUCUGCUAAUUGGGUAGAAGGUGCACAUUUAGAAACAGAUCUGGCAGUAGUGAUUGAUGAAUUGUGUAUUCCGGGCACCAAAUAGAAGUAUAAGGCGGGGACAACUGAGGCCAAAAUUUUUUCCAUCGUCUGCCUUGAAUCGAUAUGCCCAAGCAUGGAAUCUGUUUAUCUGUGCCAAGCUAGUUCCGUCAGCUCACCACCAUGCAAUCACCACUAAGCGUGCUAUUAUUUUGUGGGGUAUCAUCAAAGGCAAUUACAUUGAUGUAGUCCAUUUAAUUCAUCAAAACAUGCUGCAUUAUAUGCGGGGGAGCACUACUGGGAGCAUUCUGCAUGCAUCUGUGGUAGCCAUGCUCUGUACCCAACAAGGAGUCCCAUGGAAUAAUAAACAGCUGCAGAAACCGAGCCACGACAUCACUCAUGCUACUAUUACCAAAUUCAAGGAUUGGACGGGUGGUGAACCGCAUCCGCGAGGAUUAGGUUUUAUCAUUAAGCAUAUUUUCCCAUAGCCAUCACAGCAGCCCCCUCAGACAGAUGAGGUAAGCCCAUCCACGCAAGCAUCUGUUGCCCAUGGUGAUCGCCAGCUCCGAAGAUUGGAGCGAAAAGUCGAUGCCAUGUACGAUAAUUUCUAAACAUUUGCGACGGGACUCACGAGGGCCUUGGCUGAAGCUUUUGCGCAUCCAGGAACGACGCUAGUGUGGCCUCAGUUCGGGACAGCAGUGCCAUAUCCACCACCAGAUUCACCACCCGAGGAGGGUGGUACCACUGAUUAUUAGGGGAGUUUUUCGUUACCCUUUACCUUCAUUCAAUGGGGCAUUGAAUAUUAUAAGUUUGGGGGUAUUGGGGUAGUAGUAUAGUUGCAUGUAGUUUUUGCAUGAUUAGUUUAAUUUUUGUUUAAUUUUUGCAUCAUAUAGUUUAUUUUUGCAUAUAGUUGCAUGUUUAUUUGCAUGUUCAUUUGUAGUUUGCAUGUCUCACAGUUCUUGCCGUAUGGAAAUUUUUGUCUAGCCGAUGAUGAUAGUGAAAAUUUCAAAGAUUUUUGAGUAUGUUAGGAUAACAUGAGCUGAGAUAUAAUGUUUUACACGAUGAAGUUCAUGUUGUUGUUUAAAUGCUUUCGGUUUGCACGAGUGUGUUCACAAUCACUUAUAUGUAUAAGAAGUAUGUGUUGUAUUGCUCAAUAGAAAAUGUAGUGUCAAAAAGAGAAAUAUGUGAAACAUGGAUGUAGACUUGCAAAACAUUGACAUUCAAACUUUGGGGAAACAUGGGUAUCUAUGUAUAUAAAAAAAACAGUAAUAACGUGGCUAGUCUUAUUUCGGGGCUCUGGCUACUUGAGUAAGUAUGCCCGAGGGGAUUGUCUCUACACCUAGCGCCCUAAGGUCUUUCAUGGUCUGGGAGUCGUUGGUUGAAAGCUCGCUAAGGGGUAGCAGCGUUGCCUAAUGGAGUAAGACAUUGCACAGUCAUGUGAAAAAAAAAGAAAAAAAAAGAAAAAUAGCAAUAAACACCGCGGGAAAGUGCAAAAAUCGCCCUUGUGAGCAAAAAUAAAGCAGUUAAGCCCAUUGUUGAACCGCGGUUUGUUUUGAUAUGUUGGAAUAGUCAGCGUUGCAUAUGUAUACACGAGUCUUGAUUUAAACUAUAAUUUUCUAUUUUAAGCAAUUUAGCAUGUGUAUUCUUUACUUAAAUCAAGUUUUGGUGAACAUAACACACACACACACACACAACAUAUCUAUAGCAUUUAUGAAUUAUCUGAAUGUACAACAUUAUGCCUACAGUUUGGUUUGAAAUGGUAUUCUUAAAUCUGGAAAAAUUCGCUGAGGCAUUUUGGACUGAAUUUAUGUGAUAGCUGGAAUAAUGUGAGAUUAGUUGCAUCAUAAUUUAGUUGCAUAGUACUAUAGCUGCAUAUUCAUUGUUCAUUAGUAUGCAUUGCUUGAGGGCAAGCAACAGUUCAAGUUUGGGGGUAUUUGAUAAGUGGGUUUUAUACCUAUUUAUUGAAUACCAAUUCACGUGCACUAUGCCCAUCUCAAGUACAUUUUAGUGUAUUUUUAGUUGCAUUUCAUGUUAUUUUGAAUUGCAUUUACUUACCAAUUAAACGCAGGAUCGGAGAAAAGCUCAGUCAAGCACGUCUGUCAACGAUUUACAAAGGAUAAAAGCCACCACGCCAUAACACGGCUAAAGGCAAAGUCCUAAACGCGACUUGGGUGACGUCCCACUUAACCAAACAUUAACUCCAUACUGAUUUAAUUAAUAGAAUGACAUGAAUGUUUUAAAAGCAUAUUAAAUAUAUAUUAACAAAUAAAUUAUCACAUAUAUGAUCUCAUAAAGUUACUGUUGGUUUGGGGUCUACCCAAAACUAUGAGCCGACAGGUCUCUUCCUGUAUAGCGGUUUUUGUUAAAAUAAUAAAUUGUUCAGAUUUAUGAAGUUGUUCUAAGAAAUAAGAACGAUUAUGAGUAUCUGUUGCAGUCUGAUAUGCUGUUAGAUAACGAUUACUGUUUUUAAAAUUUCAAGUAAGGAAACAUAGUAAUUAACAGAAGCAAUAAUUAAAACUUACAGAAGAGCCAGGAUAUCUUCAAACUUCAAGAUAUUAUAUAUAUCUGAAUAUCUUACAAGAGAGAGAGAGAGUACAACGAAAAAGUGUAAAGAAAAUUCUAAGGAAAGUUCUAUCUCAACAAUGGGUGAGGUCUCCCAAUUUAUACAAGUGAGAAGAUAAGAAAGGAUCUGGCGUGUCCAGGGUAGUGGAGUCGGUUGGCAGUCCUUAUCUUUUCUUCUUUGAAUCUCAGCCGUGGGAAGUGGAGGGCAUGAGACAAGCUGUCAGAUGAGUGGAUUACAGCUGGUUGGCGUCUUUUAAUGAUAGAGGACAGCUGGCUGCUACUUUCUGAUAGUGGAGUUACUGUGGUUGUCCUUUUCNNNNNNNNNNNNNNNNNNNNNNNNNNNNNNNNNNNNNNNNNNNNNNNNNNNNNNNNNNNNNNNNNNNNNNNNNNNNNNNNNNNNNNNNNNNNNNNNNNNNNNNNNNNNNNNNNNNNNNNNNNNNNNNNNNNNNNNNNNNNNNNNNNNNNNNNNNNNNNNNNNNNNNNNNNNNNNNNNNNNNNNNNNNNNNNNNNNNNNNNNNNNNNNNNNNNNNNNNNNNNNNNNNNNNNNNNNNNNNNNNNNNNNNNNNNNNNNNNNNNNNNNNNNNNNNNNNNNNNNNNNNNNNNNNNNNNNNNNNNNNNNNNNNNNNNNNNNNNNNNNNNNNNNNNNNNNNNNNNNNNNNNNNNNNNNNNNNNNNNNNNNNNNNNNNNNNNNNNNNNNNNNNNNNNNNNNNNNNNNNNNNNNNNNNNNNNNNNNNNNNNNNNNNNNNNNNNNNNNNNNNNNNNNNNNNNNNNNNNNNNNNNNNNNNNNNNNNNNNNNNNNNNNNNNNNNNNNNNNNNNNNNNNNNNNNNNNNNNNNNNNNNNNNNNNNNNNNNNNNNNNNNNNNNNNNNNNNNNNNNNNNNNNNNNNNNNNNNNNUUUUCAUCAUUCUGUUCAAUAAACAAUACUGUUUCUUCCACAUUUUUAUUUGGAAUAUACUGUUCGGGUAGUAAAAUAAUAUCUUUUACUGUUGGCUGGCUAGAAGAAGCCGAAGAAUUACUGGAUUGAGUAUUUAGACUAGGAAAUUCUGUAUAAUACAGAUUUGCUCUGCCCCGGCCCCGUUGACCGCGGCCACGACCUCUACUGGUCAUUCCUGCAAAUAUUCUCUGGUUAGAAAAUCUGGUAAAGAGUUCUGUUUUCCUUUGAUAUACUCAAUAUCAAAGUCAAAUACUGAUAAAAUACUUUGCCAAGUAGCAAAUAUCUGUUUGGAUGCUAAAUUUUGAACAUCUUUUUUAAAGAUUUGCUUUGCAGCUGAACAAUCAACUCUAAUUAAAAAGUGCUGAUUCAAAAGAUCAUCCUGAAAUUUUAAAACACAUUUGACAAUUGAAAGGCAUUCUUUUUUAAUAGUAGGAUAAUUUAAAGAAUGUCCUUUCCAAGUUCCUGAAGUAAAAUGAAUAAGAUCUUCUUUAUUACUGUUAGGAUUAAAUUGUUUUAAAAUACCACCAUAUCCUGUAUUGGAAGCAUCGGUCUGAACGAUCUUUUUCCAUUCGGGAUUAGGUAAGGAUAAACAAGGUCACUGUUUAACUCUAGAUUUAUUUUUUCUUACUGCAUCAGUAUGUUCUUCAGUCCAAGGUGAAGGAUUUUUCCGAAGGCGAGUAUACAGAAUAGAAGCAUCUUGGGAAAGAUUUGGAUAGUAAUCACGAAUAUAAUUUAAACUUCCCAAAAAUCUCUGUAGUUGAUUAAUAUCUUUAAUUUCAUUCGGAAAUUUAGAUGCAAAUUCAAUACAUCUAUCAAUUGGGAUAAUAGUUCCAUUAGAAACAUUAUGUCCAAGAAAUCUGAUCCUUGUUUGGAAAAGUUUCAUUUUGGGGGCAGAAACUACCAAACCAUUUUUUAUGAUAACAUUUUUAAAAAUAUUUAAAUGUUUUAUAUGCUGUUCAAUAGAUGAAGAGAAAAUUAAAACAUCAUCAAUGUAACAGAUAAUAAAUUCAGUAAAGGGGUUAAAAAUAUCAUUCAUGAUGUGCUGGAAUUCUGAAGGUCCAUUUUUUACUCCAAAUGGAAGAACAUUCCAUUCGUAGUGGCCAAAAGGUACUGUAAAAGCAGUUUUAUAAGUAUCCUGUUCUCUAAUUUGAAUUUGCCAAAAUCCUGAUUUCAUAUCGAAUUUAGAGAAAAUAGUGGCAUCAUGAAGUCGGUCAAGAAGAUCCUUCUUAUUCGGAAUUGGAUAUCUAAUCCAUUGAAGGGCUUCAUUAAGAGGUUUAUAAUUGAUAACGAGUCGUGGAGUUCCUCGUUCAAUUUCUGAAUUUUUAUUGACAUAAAAGGCAGUACAACUCCAGGGAGAGGUACUAGGUUUUAUUAAUUUUUUCUGUUGGAGGGACUCAAUUUCGGUUUUACAAAGGAGUAAAUAUUCUUUCUUCAUCUGACUGGGUCGAGAUUUAGUAGGAAUAUUUUUCUCAUUAAAACUAGGGAUAUAAGGAAGAGAAAUAAUAUGUUUCUUCCUGUUCCAGAAAGCAUUUGGGACAUCACUGCAGAUUUCAGUUUGAAGAGUUUUAUGGAUUAGUUUAAUUUUUUCCUGUAGAGAAGGUUGUAAAAUUCUUUGUUCUGUAGUAAGAAAUUUUAUUUCUUUCUGAAUAAAAUUGAUUUGUUUUUCUUUAGAAUAAAUCAUGUUUUUGACUUGAUUUAAUUCUUUAGUGUAAGGUUCGGUAAUAAAUUCAAAAACAAUAUGUCUGUUAUUGAGAGUUGUAUGAAUUCCUAAAGUAUCAAUUUUUGUAAUAGGCAUUAAAAGGCAUAGAAAUGGAGUGCCUAAAAUGAUACUUUGAUUCAUAUUACGGAUAAGAACAAAAGAAGUAGGUAAACAAAGACCUUGAUUACAGAUUAAGGCUUCAGGAAUUUUAUACUUUAUAUUCAUAGUAUUUCCACUUGCACUAGUUAAAGAUUGAGUGGUCUUCUGAAAGUAUUUGGUAGGGAUAAGACCUUCCUGGAUACAGUUCAUAUCAGCACCACUAUCAACUAGGGCAAUGGCGUCUUUGAUAAUAAAGUCUGGUUUAAUAAUAAAAGUAAUUCUAAUAUACCAUUUCUGGAAGACUACUUGAUUCAUUAACAUUAAAUACUGUUCAGAGGAUUCUGGUUUAUCAAAGGAUUCGGGUUGUUUGGAGGAUUCUAUAUUAUCCUGUUUGUGAUUUAACUUAUUUUUAAUAUUGGUUAAAUCUUGAAAGAUAAUAAUAUUAUUAUUCUGUAAUUGUUUUAUUUCAGAUUUUAAAAUAUUUAUUUCAUUUUUUAAAUCCUGGAUUGUAGUAGGCUUCUCAGAGGUAGAAACAUUCUGAAUACGUUUCAUAACCUCUUUCAUACUGUACUGGUUAAUAGGAAGGGUGUCUUCAGCCUUCUGUGUUUUAUAACAGAUUUCCAAAAAUUUUAAUUUGAUCUCUGGAUCUUUAAUCUGUUCGGCGAGGUCUAGAAGGGAUUUCUGGUGGUCAGUUAAGACAUUAAUACUGGGACCUCCAAUAUCUAAACCAUUCAUCUCGACGAUUGCUUUCCAGUAAUUAGCUUCAGUAGCUGUAUUACAGUUAACAGUACAGGUUUGACAUUGUUCGUUGUCAGAAUUAUUAUCAGAUUCUGAAUAGACUUCAGCUAGAUCAUUUUCUGAGCUGGACUCGGAGUCAUUAUUAGACAAACAAUUAAGAAUUUGCUGUUGAAUUUCCUCAUCAAGGGAUAAUUCAUUAAGCUUUUGUUUUAAUUUUGAAUUGCAUUUAUUAGCAAAGUGUCCUGUCUUUCCGCAUUUAUAGCAUUGAAUUUUAGAUUUAUCUUUCUUUCUGCUACUCUUUCUUUUUCUGGAAGAUUUUUCAGGGGUUUUGGUUUUUGAAGAUUUCUUAGAAGAACGUUUUCGGUAAGAUCUAGAAGGUUUAGAAUUUUGCUGUUUUUUAGCUUUCUGAGGAUACUGUAAUUUUGUGUCAUAAGAGAAUUGAUCGCAAAAUUCUCCUAUCUCAUGUCUUUUGGUGAGAUUCUGUUUUUUCAUUAAUUGUUGGAGUUUCAUAUCAUUACAUAAUGAUAAUCCCUCUUCGAUAAUUACUGAAAUAAGAUGGCCAUAAGAAUACUGGUCAUAAGGUAUACUCAUACGGUCAUGUUUAUCUCUAAGUUUUUUUCGAACUUUUUCUGCAAAGAAAGUAGGAAGUCCAUCUACAAAUUUGGCUUUCCAAUGUUCACUGUUAGCAUCUGCUCUUUGCAUGACUUUCAUUAAAAAGACAUCUUUAUACCAUCUAAAAUGGGUUAAGGAUGGGCAACGAAGGUUCUGUAAAAGUUCUCUACUUCUAUCGGUAUUUGACUGUCCUGGUCCUACAAAAUGGUGAACGAUAGCUUGAACUAAGGUGUAACAAGCAUCUUCUCUUCUGGUUUCAGUUUUAGUAAUAGGGUCAGUAUCAUUCUUAUAGGAUUGAAGGAUUUCAGUUCUUUGGUUAUCAGUGAGUACAUUAUCCCACCAUCCUUUAAGAAUGCCAGUAAAACCAUUUACUAAGAAACGACAGAUCUGAUGGUCUGUGUUUUCAUUCUGUUUGCAGACUGUUGCAUACAUUAAGAUAUGAUGGAUAGUUUCAAAAAUUUGAUAUUCUGUUUUACCAUCGAUAUUCCAUUCAUAGAUAGUCUUACCAUGGUAAGACUUUUGGGAAUGAAGAAAGUCUUCUUCAUACAGAAUAUCCUGAGGAGUAGGUCUGGGGUAGUAAUACCUACUGGGUCCAGAUAGAGCCAUUCUAUUAAUAGGCUUUCGGCUAUAAGUAGUUUUAUUAAUAUUUUGCAUCUCCUGAAAAUUAUUCUGGAUUUCAAAAAUAUUAAUAGGGGAAAAAUCGGAAUCAUCUUCUUCAUUAUCAGUAUUACUAUUACUGGUAUGAGAGGAAGGUUGUCCAGACAUCAUAUUGAGCUGGGAUGAGGAUGCGGGUGUGAGUUUUAAAUCUUUCAUUUUGUUUAAAAGAUUAUCAAUAAAACUAUCACUGUUUUUAGAAGAUUUCAUUUUAAAAUUACUAACUUCUAAAGGUGGUUUUAUAGUUGCGGGUUGAAGGUCAAUUUUUUGAGGAAUAAUCUGACAAUUAUCAUUAAUAUGAUUUAUUUGUUCUUCUAUCCUGGUUAACUGUUUUCCUACAGUUUGAAGGAAUAGAUUAGUAUAAUUAUUCUGUUUAGACAAAGGCAAAAUGUCUUUAAUCUUAACAUCAUCUUGCUGAUGAGAAACUUCAGAAAUAUCAACAUACGGAUUAAUAACUAAUGGUUUCAAAUUUUCAUUUCCCGAGCUAAGUUCAAGAGACUUAGGAGGGGGAUGGAUAGAUUGAAUAAUAUUACCAUUUGUAGUAAUCCAAUCCUUUUGAUAUCCAGUUAAUACAUUUAAUUGACUUUCAUUAUAAAAUUCUGAUUUUAGGACAAAAUCAUAAUACCAUUUAGCAAAUGAUAAAAUACACUGGUUAUUAUUCAGAUAAGCAUAAUAAUUAGCUUUAAUUUCUGCUAACUUAUCAUUAUCAUGAUUUUUAAAAUACCAAUUUCUAAAAUUCUGAUAUUUAUCCUGCAUGAACUCCUGGUUUAAACAUUGGCGAAUUUUACUAUUGGGAGAAAAAUCCAUUUAACACUCAAAAUUCAUGUCACUAGCAGUUGGACUGUAAGGUCUUCUGUUUUGAGGAGUAGCCUCAUAAAUACCAUGAGGUAUUUGAUUUUCAGAAAUAUGAAUUCCUCUAACAAUGUCUUCAUUUUUGACAGACUCAUUGCUGGGAUUUUUAGACUCUUGAUAAACAGAUUCUAAAGGGUCAGACACAGAUUGUCUAGACGAUUCAGGAAAAUCAAUAUUAUAAGAAAUAUUGUUUAUAGAUCGACUUCGGUUAAAAGGUCUUUGAAAUUUUAAAUAAACAUUUCCAUUACUGGUCUGGAUAACAUCUUCAAUGUUUUGUCUAAUUAUAGGUCUGGUAGGAACGGCAUUAGUAAUUUGCCAUUGUUUUGGGAAAGUAAUUUCUUCCCAAGGGAUCAUUCUGGGAAUAGCCACUUGACUACUAAAGAGGUUAGUAUCAAUAAGGACAGUAUGUCCUUGUUGGCUUUGCUUUCUGAUAUAGGGAUUUAAAGUUGUUAAAACUUUAAGAUGUAUACGGAAUAAGAUGGCAAAAGGAGGGGAUCCGGGUAGGUAUUCAUAACCAUGAGAUAUAAUUCUCAUUUCUAAGACUUUUGACAAAUUAUUAUCAGUUAGGGCAACACUUAAAUUCGGAUAGAUAUUAAAAUAUACUGGUCCAUGGGCAAGGCUAGUUUCAAUAGCUCCCAUGAGAGAGGCUUUCCAGUUAAGACACCUACCAUCUCUAAGUGUACACUGAAUACUGGUAUUUUGGCCAAGUAAAGUCAAAGGUUUAAAGGCUACUUGGACAAGUCCUAUGUGAACAUAUUUAUAUUUUUGCAAAAAAGGGUAUAAGUCUUCAAUAUGUAAUAAAUAUAAAUUUUCAUCAUUAUUCUGUAAAGGAACAGCAUGCUCAAAGGUUUUUAUUAUUCUUUUACUAAUAAAAUCAAAGGUUCCAAUUUUAUAAAUUGUUUCUGGUUUGAUUUUAGGAAUAGUCCAUUUAUCUAAGGCUUCCUUUAAAGGAACAACAUGCUCAAAGGUUUUUAUUAUUCUUUUACUGAUAAAAUCAAAGGUUCCAAUUUUAUAAAUUGUUUCUGGUUUUAUUUUAGGAAUAAUCCAUUUAUCUAAGGCUUCCUUUACAUCCUGAUAGGCAAUAAGUUCGGUUGCUUCCACAGUGGAACUUGAAGCAUUAGCUACGGUUGAAAGAGAGGUUGAAAAAUCAGUCAUUUUUUAAGGGUGACCAUAUAUGUGUAAUUUAUAAGUAAUAUAUUCAUUAAUAUGUUAAUAAACUAAACAUGGCUCUGAUACCAAUUAAACGCAUGAUCGGAGAAAAGCUCAGUCAAGCACGUCUGUCAACGAUUUACAAAGGAUAAAAGCCACCACGCCAUAACACGGCUAAAGGCAAAGUCCUAAACGCGACUUGGGUGACGUCCCACUUAACCAAACAUUAACUCCAUACUGAUUUAAUUAAUAGAAUGACAUGAAUGUUUUAAAAGCAGUAAUCGUUACUAACAUCAUAUCAGACUAUGUUUUAAUUGCUUCUGUUAAUUAAAUCAGUAUGAAUUCUUGAUCACCAUUCACACUUAGUACUUGUAUGGAAUUGACAAUGAACAUGCAAGUAUGGUUUGUAAUCAUGAUAACAUACGUAUAUAGGGCUGUUUUGUAUGGCUUGUGUAUUUCGUGAACCAGAUAGACAUAUACGGUUUCACCAUAUGAGUUAGGAUAAGGGCUUGUGCUUAAAUUCAAUUUAAUUGCAAUUUCACAUAGACAUAUAGUGAUGUUGGUUAUAUUGAUGAUUACAUAGAGUCUAUCGCUUGUGGAUGUUGUGUAAGUAAGUCAAGUACAUUGAAAAAUGGCUAUGACUCUUUUAGUGCUCUUGGCUACUUUCCUGUGAUAUGUGAACAAGUCUUGCAUGAUAGUGGUGAUUAAAUGAAAUAUUAAAUGAAGUUAGGAUCCCAUUACUUUCAGAUUUGAUUUAUUACAUCUUAUUUAUUGUUUUAGUCGUUAUUUGCGAUUAGAGUGACAAACCAAUUAUAGUCAUUAGUUUGAGCAUAUAAAUAUAGUGAUUUAAUUGAUGCAUAGUAAUUUUAAUUAAACAACUUUCCCUGUGGGAUCGAUACUUUACUUGCUCUGUAUUACUUGUUGACACAUGUAUGCUUGAAUGAGUUAGAGCUCUUUUGUAGAACUAAAAAAUAGGCAACACAUAUCAUAUAUAUGGAUUUAGAGAGAGAAAAAUGUCUACUUUAAUUUUCAUUUUCUCCAAGACCUUCUCUCUCUAGAAUUUUGGGACCAAGAGUGAAAGAGAGUCAAAUGUUAAGCUUAGAUCAGUCCAUAACUAUCAAAUAUCAGAUCAUCAAGGAUCAGAAUCAGAAUCAAAGCCUCACAGGUAUAAGAACCCUAAUUUUUCUAAAUCUUUAAUCUGAUGUUAGUUGUUGUUAGUUGUUGGUUAAAGAUGUGUUAUAAGGUGUCAUUUAGAGAUCUGGAUUGUUGGAUCAUGGAUCCAUAACAUCUAGAUGCUCGAAUCUAAAGAUUUCAAAAAUCUGGAAAUGUUGAAAAUGAUGGCCUGACAGCCAUAUGUCAGGGCCCAUAGAUCUUGAUCUAUUAGUUGUUUGUUGUGUUUUUUGUUUUAUAUCUGUUCUAUGUCAUGAAAACUAUGAUCUCCAACUAGAAACACGUCCAGAUCAUAAAUAUACUGAGAGUUAUGGGCGGUCAAACAUCGUUGACCGUUCACGGAAAGCAAGUUCUGGGCAACCCAGAAUCCCCAGAAAUCUCUGACAAGCUUUUCAAUGACUUUAAUCUUGCUACUGACAGGUUAUUUAGUCAUGCUCGUUUUGUGGACUUGUAGUCUGGUAUCAGUACUACAAAAUAAAGCCUUUAUAUCACUUAGAUAUUACUCGGAAUCAAAUUUAAUAAGGGUCAAAGUAGCGUUGACCACCAGAUUAUGAAGAAAUCUGGAAAACCCAGAUUUCUUAAGAACUCGAGUUUGACAAUGGUUUGAACAGCCUUAAUCGUUCUGGUGCAAUGAUGUUAUCAUGUUAUGAUGUUAUAUGCUUGUACCCUGACAUCUUCACUACACGAUUAAACCACUAUAUCACACAAAUCAAACACAUAACGCAAACUAUAAGGAUCCAAAGUAGGUACAUUCAAUUCUGGAAAAUCCAGAAAACGAAGAACAAUGUUGUCAGAAAGUUUGGAAGCUUAGAUCUAUCAGAUCUGAUGUAGUAUGACCAUGAAACUUCAUUUAACUUGUUAUAUUACACGAGCACUAUAAUUAUAACGCCUUAGCAAAUCCAGAAACGUAUUAACCAAGGAUUUAUUAACGGUCAAACUCGGCACCCGGUAACUGGCGAUGAAGUUUUGGGUUUUUUCAAGAACAGUCCAAGAACACCUAUAGCGACGGGUCUGUCGCUAUAGGCCCCUUUAGCAACAGUUAGUUUUAGAAAUUAAUUAUUUUAAUUAAUAAAUAGAUAAAAAUGAUUUUUAAUUAUUAAAAAUACAAAAUAAAUUCCAAAAAAUUAUUUUAAAGUCUGAAAAAUAGUUUUUCAUUAUUUUGAGUAUAUUUCAUAAAUAUUUAAUAUUUUUGGAAUAUAAAUAGUAAUUAAUUUAUUUAAUUAUAAUAUUAAAUAAAUUAUUUAAAAAUGAUUUUAAUACAUUAAAAAUCAUGAAAAAUAAUAUUAUGAUAUAAGAUAAUAUUUAAAGAUAUUUUCAGUGACUUUUAAUAUUUUGUGAUGAAUUUCAUUAAUUAAUCAAUAUUAAUGGUAAUUAAUUUAUUUCAUAAAUAUAUUAAAUAAAUUAUAGAAAAAUAGAAUUAAUGAUUUAAAAAUCAUGUAAAAAUGAUUUAAGUGUUAUGAAAAUAUUUGAAGUUAUAAAAUAAAACUUUUGAUUUUUUGUCAUGAAAAUAUUAAUAUUUUAAUAUUAAUAGUAAUUAUCGGAUAAUGAAUUUAAUUGUUUAAAAAUCAUAUAAAUGUGAUUUUAAAGUAUUAAAAAUACUUUGUGAUAUUAUAAAUAUAUUAUAAUAUUAUGUUAUAAUUUUUAUUAAUAUUUAAUAUUAAAUAAAUGUUAAUGAUAUUAGGAUAUUGUGGUAUUUAAAUUAGAUAAAUACUAUAUUAAUGAUUGGAAAAUCAUUUUAAAUGGUAAUAAUUACUUAAAAAUUAUUGCGAGCUUAUGAAAAAUAUUCCGACUGUUAAUAAAUUAUCUAAGAUAUCUGUGAACCACUUUAGACUGAGUCUUAAUAAUUUUAGACUCGAGUUUUGUCCGACUAGACCGUCGGGACGUUAGAAUUUUGUCUGAAUCAAGAUAAACUGCAAUAGUUUGACUUGAUAUCGGGUUCUAUGUGUGUUGUAGACUGAUAGGGUUAUGUGUUAUGUGUUAUGUGUUUAGGUUAUUCUAUGUGUAUAUAUAUCUUAUAGUAUUAUAUUGUGAUGAUAUUAUUCUAAUAUUGGAGAUCUAUAUUACUAAUAUUAGGUCUUCGGAUAAAGCGUUAUAAAUUGCGUAGCGGUAAUCAAUAGUUCAGGCAAGUUUUUAGUUAACUCUACUAAGAGUUGUUUCAUUCAGAUAUGCUUAUGGAUAAUCAAUGUUGAUUGCCAUUGUAGAAUUGUACUCUGUACAUGUUGAAUGUAUAAGUCAGGUAUGAAAGGCUGAUCACCUUCAUUACCCUUCGGUCCAGAUAUAUUUGUUCAUGUUAUAUAGUUGUUCAGUCAAAAGUUUGUUCCUGCUAGUUCACAAUUAUAUUGUUGAAUUAUAACCAGCUUAUUAUUCAUAUUAUUUCAAUCAUGAUAUCGUUAAAUUAUUGAACUUAAACUUGUUGGGCAAUCUUAUGCUCACCCUUGCUAUAUCAUGAUAAACAUUGCAGAUUAAGACGAAUACGUCGGAUACAAGGAAAGGUCAAAGACAGUUCCAGCUUUAGUAUACGUGUGCAGUUAGAUUUGUAACGGUAUUAUAUAUUAAUGUAAUUAUAAGUAAAAUAAGUUAUGAUUUGUGUAUUAAGUGAAGGUUACUCGACCUUGGGGAAAAAUGUGUAAGUUUAAUGUACAAACAAUUUAUGUUUAUAUCUUCCGCCAAUAGUAAUAGUGAUAGGAUGAUUAAACUGGAUCCACGGUGAUUUGGGACCCGGAUUCGGGGCUCUCACAGUGUCAUUUACUUUAUGUCAUUUACACUAUGUACUUAACUGCUAUAACUGCUAUGUAUGUAUGUACUACUUGCAACUGAACUAACUCUAAGAACAAUGUAUAUAUGGUUAUGAUUAUAUCAAUGAAGGGGAUCUUUUACUUAUUUCGUUGUGCUUGAAAAGAUUCUUAUGUUUGUCAUGCUAAUUCAUUACCAAUACAAAAGGAACGAGAAAAGUUUUUGAAAUUAAAAAGGAUCUAUUCAACGCCCCCCCCCUUUCUAGAUCUAUUGUGUCCCUACUGGGAACUAACAGUCUUGCCUUAUUCCUUAUUAUUACCCGAUAUUCAUCCUACUUGUUCUGAAGACCCACUUGGUGCCAAUAACUGGGUGGCUUCUUGGUCUUGGAACUAAUCUCCAUAUUAUGCUUCUUUCAAACUAAUUUAGUUCUUCUUGCAUGCCUUCUAUCCAACUUGAGUCUUCCAUAGCAUCUUCUAUCUUCUUGGGUUCCAUUUGUGACAGAAAGCUUAGAUAGAAAAGCUUAUUCUGAGUGGCAGAUCUUGUCUUGACUCUUACAUUUGGGUCUCUAAUGAUCAGGUCUUGAGUGUGAUCUUUUGCCCAUCUAUUCCAUGUUGGAACAUCAGUUCUACUGCCUUCUUGUCUGAAUUCUUUGAGAUUAACCUUUAUCUCUUGUUGUAGAGGUUCGUAGUUUGGUGUAGCUCUCUCUACGAUCUCUUCUUCAGGCUCAAUAAUUUCAUCUUCUGGGGCUACAAUCGUGGUGUCGAGCUCAACCACCUCGUUUGUAGUGUCUGAGUUGUUGAUUGUAGUGUCUUGAGGCACAUUUUUAUCUGAGUUUGUUUCAUCGAAGAUGAUGUGAAUUGAGACUUCAACACUUAGCGUCUUCUUGUUGAAUACUCUAUAAGCCUUAUUGUCUAUGGCAUAUCCGAGAAAGAUUCUUUCGUCUAACUUAGGUUGAAACUUAGUCAGAUAUUGUUUUCCAUAGUUGAGAAUAUAGCAUUCGCAACCGAACACGUGGAAGUAGCUGACAUUUGGCUUUCUUUCUCUCCACAGCUCGUAGGGAGUCUUAUUUAACGAAGAGUGCAUAAGAGAUUUGUUCUGAGUGUAGCAUGCAGUGUUGACAACUUAUGCCCAGAAGUAUUCAGGCAGAUGAGCUGCUGCUAGUAGAGUUCUUCCAGCUUCAACCAAUGUUCUGUUCUUUCUUUCAGCUACUCCGUUUUUCUAUGGAGUUCGUGGAGCUGAGAAGUUGUGAUUGAUGCCAUUGUCUGUGCAGAACUGAUCCAUCUCAGAGAAGUUGAAUUCUCUACCAUGAUCACUCCUUAUAGCCUUGAUUUUCUCCUCUUUUUUGUUCAUCACCAGCUUGAACAUCUUGAUGAGUUGGGAACUUGUUUCAUCUUUUGAGUUUAGAAAGAACACUCAUGCAAAUCUGGUGUAGUCAUCCACUACGACCAAUGAGUAUCUCUUCCCUCCAAAGCUUGUUGUUUAAAUUGGCCCAAAUAGAUCUAUGUGAUGUAAUUGUAGGGGCUUAUCAAUUGAUUUGACAUUUUUGCUUUUGAAUGAGCUUCUAGUUUAUUUUCCAAGUUGACAGGCAUUGCAUGGCCUUUCUUUGACAAAGUUGAGCUUGGGUAAGCCUGCUACUAGAUCCUUGGAGGCUAGUUUUGACAUGAUUUUGGAGUUGAGAUGAGACAACCUUCUAUACCAUAGCCAGCUCAUUUCUUCAAAGGCUUUAGCCAGAAAGCAUAUUGUCUCAUUAGAACUCAGUUGACCAAGAUUAAUAGUGUACACGUUUCCUUCUCUUGUUUCGGUCAGCUUUAUGGAAGAGGUCUUCAGAUCUCUAACUUGACUUGACAUUGAUUGUUGAGGAAGGUAACUUGAUGACCCUUGUCGUAGAGCUGGCUUAUGCUCAGAAGAUUGUUCUUUAGUCCUUUCACAUAGGCUACUUUGCUGAAGGACACUGCACCAUUCCUGUGACGCCCCCAAAUCCAGGUCGCUUCAAACCUCGGAUCCAGUCCGCCACGAUACUACUAUCGUCAAACUAUUUAUAUCUUUUAUUAAUAACUUAAUGAAUGUAACUUUGCUUAUUACAAUUUAGAAUAUAAAUUCUUUCCAUUUCCAAGAUCUAUACAAUGACCCCAAACUUUUAUAAGUUUUAAAUCUUGGUCAUUUACCGUUCCUGUCUUACCUCAUAUUCAAUGUUAUAUAAAUAUGCGGAAUAAUUUAAACUUUUUCAAUCUCCUUUAAAAAUAAAUCUUUUAUUGAUGUCUUAACUUGAAUCAAUAACAUAUCCUUGAAUAAAUUUAUGUUAUGAUUCAUUAUAUUCAAAUUUCUGUAUAAAUCUUUACAUCUCGAUUUGAAUUCCUCUAUGUAUCACAUAGUACAACUUAACAUGUAUUACACAUCGUAAACCACUAUCAUGUACAUCUCCUAGAACCUAAACAUGGUUCAAGGGCAUAUAUUUAAAUAAAUAAAUCAAUCUCCUUCGAUGCUAUUAAACUUUAUCUAUCAAGUAGCACGUAAUCUUUAUCGUGAGUCCUUAACCUACAAAAGUGGUUAUUUGCAAGGGUGAGCUCGACAGCGCAACAAUUCUAAUAGUGUUCAUGCAGCACAUAUCAUAUAAUAACAUACUCAGUUCUUGCAUUCAUAAUCAAUUAAUAUUUACUACGAAUGUUAUUUCUCAUAUAACAGACAUAUAGGUUUACUUCACAAGCAUAUCAUCAAAGAUCAACUUUCAAUUUCAUACAUAUCUCAUAUGCAUUUCAUAUAUAUGCAUCAACAUUCUCAUAGCAUAAUAUAGCUUAACUAACAGUUAUAGAAUUUAUAUAUCAAAUAGGAAUUGAAAGACUUGCCUGAUUCGUAGUUUAUCAACUACGACUUAACUGCUUAAAGCUUAUCUGCACUGCGUGUAUUCCUACACAAUUAUAUAAUCAUGGAAUCAUAUCCAUUAGUCAUACAUUUCAUACGUUCUAAAUAUAAAAAUAAAUAUUACAUCGUUUCCUAACUAGGUUUGUAAAACCUUCAUUUCACUUUCUCAUCAUACUCUUAGAAUAGCUAGGUAUGUAUAGGUAUAUCUUAACCAUCCGUACUUGACAUCAACAUUCAUAUAUAUUUAUCACACACUUGACUCUCUAUGUGUUCGACACAUAUUUAAAGUUUAUAGAUACGUAAUCUACGUCGUUCAUAUUCAAACUACUUAGUUCCAUAAUAAUUUAUUUCAAUCAAUAAAGCUUAACAACUUUCUUUAACAAGAUUCGAUGAUAUAAUCUUUUAAACCAUAUAUUGGUACUAAUAAGCCCCUACUAGUAUGCUUCACAUAGACAUAGCAUAGUUUAUUAUUUGAAGAUGUAUUUUAAACCACACUUGACAGGUCCAAUACAUGUUUAGCUAGAUGAUGAACAUAUUCCUUAUGUCUAGGGGCAUAAGGCGUUCAAGUUCACUUUUAAAAGUCAUUCUAGGCCAAGUUAAAGCAACUAGGUGCAAAUUUUAAUCUCAUUUCAUAGCUAACUAAGCCAUGUAUAUAUGUUAUCACAUUUAGAACUUUAAGUACAAAAGUUACUUUAAGUUCGUUCUUAAAGUUUCAAGUUUUCUUUAGAAAUCAAUUUCAACUAAGCUAUUGUAAGUUGAUAAUAAGUAAAGCAACUUUAAAUCACUUCUCAUGCUUAGGUAUACUCAUAACUCAACAAUAUGUAUGUGUUAAAAAUAUCAUAACUUCAAAGACUCUAGGUUCGUCAAUAUUCAUUUUUCAAAACUCCAAGUUUCCUUUCAAAACACAUACUAAGUUAUGCUAAAGCACUCUAUUAUGAGUAAGGUAUUCUUAUAUGUCAUGUCUAUUAUCAUGCAUAUUUAUAUUUUAUCACUUAGAAUAACAUAUUCCAUGGUCGGGAGCACUAUACUUGCGUAUGUGCUCGUCCGACGCUCUUUGAUUGCCUUCGAAUACGUAAUAGUCACAAAGAUGACUAUUUUGACCCCUUCUAACAACCUCAAAUUGAAAAUCUUAAAGAACAAAAUUUGUAGGUCUAUUCGUCCUCGUUCCGGAUCAUCUUGAAUCAUAUAAAUCGGAGUUCAUAUAAAAAUGUUAUAGCCAUUUUACCAAAAUAGAUUACAUCAUUCAUUGUAGGACCCCCUGCCUUUUACACAAUAAGACCCGCGCCGGGGCGAGCACAACUGUUGUAUUUGGAAAUUUUCAUUUCCCAAAAACCCUAACUAACCUAAUUCUUAAUCAAAAACUCAUGUUCAUACUAAUUUUCAUGUUUUGAAAAGUUUAGCGAAUUCAUUCACUACGAAUUCGUUUCUAAACCAAAAUAGUUCGUUUAACUUCCGUUGUUUUCGCAUUCGACCAUUUUAACAAUGUUUAGCAUCAAUUGACACAUUCUAUCAUGCUUCAACCAUAAACGUUUUGACUCAAAACAUGUAUUUUAGCACUUUCUAAGAAAUUUGUAAAAAACAUGAAUUUAAGAACAUAUAAAGGGAUAUUACCUUCUUAAUGCUUGAUUGGCUAACUAUUUCUCUUGAAUCUUCCAAUCUCAGAUUGUUCUCAUUAAUGGCAACUCACUCUUAAUAGGAAGCUUAACAUAACAUCUCAGCAAAUGGAAAUGAGAAGGAGGAGUCCCCAUUUAUAGAGAAAUCAUUGUCCAUACAAUGAUUUUGCCCAACAAUUUAAACCAAGAGGAAGAAGAAGAAGAUGUUGGUCAAGAAGGAGUUGGUGGAAAAAUUAAAUUAACCCACUCCCCUCUUCAUCAUUUGGAAGCUAUGGAUUUUGGAGAAGAAGAAGCAAGCUAGCUAACUAGCCUUUUUGUAUUUCACGUGAAUGGAAAAUGACACACAAUUUGGGACAUUCCCUCCUAAUAUUUAGCAUUGCAAAACUACUACUAGCAUACUUAGGUUUAUAUGAUAUUUUCCCUAAAUGUGCAUACAUAUAGACCCACUCACAUAGAAUUAUAUAAUCCAUGUACAUUAGUUUAUUCCAAUUAAUAUUUUAAUUGGGCUAAUUAUAAAAUAGUUGGAUAUUCUCAAUCCAUCAUUUUCCAUAAAAUUAUCAUCUCAAAUAUACCCAAUUAUUAUAAUGAUAAUUAAUAUCAAUUAUUUAUUAACUCCUCAUUUAUUUUCCCAUUAAAUCCACCUUUGAUUUAACUUCCCUAGUUAUGCCACACAAGACAUAAUUAUGUGGACUUAGUAAUUAAUAGCUCAAAAGCUUAUAAUAAUAUAAUCUCACAAAAUAACAUUAUUCUUAACUUUACAUCUUAUAAUAUGGUCAUGGAAGUGGUCCAUUGCACCAUGUUACAUUUUAUUAUCUCACUUGUACAUAGUGCUAACAUACUAGUCUUUAUACAUAUGUAUUCAAAUACUUCCUAUAUUAUAUAGUUACCAUUGAAGUGUCCCACUUCAUUUCAUAUCAUAUAGAUGUAGCUACUAUAUAAUAUAAAAUCAUUGUACAUACAAAUUAAUUCCUUCAAUAAUUCAUUCAUUAAAUUAUUUAAUGAAUGCUUAUUCCAUCACUUUGCCACACUAGGCAUAUCACACAAGCUUACAUUAAGCUUAUUACUUAUUUUCAUUACUUAUUCAUUUCCCACCACAUUACUAUAAUCAAAAUUAUGUACUUCGCCAUAACAUAACAUAAGAUGUUUUUAUCAUGUUUUCUCUAAAUAUAAGAACUAAUCAUAAUAAAACGAUUUACUCAUUGUCUCAAGAUAUUAUUCUUAAUAUAAUAUCUAUGUAUUAUUAAAAUAUUUACAUGCACGACACACGUACACACUAUAUAUAGAAAAUAAGUUUAUUUCCUAUUAUGAUAAAUUAUUUCCAUCAACUUAUAUAGCAAAUAUGUUUUAAUAUAUUUACCAUAUUACUUACUCACACACAUUACCUCGUACAAAACUAUAUAAGGUAAUAUCAAAAUAAUAUUCCCCCUUUUAUUAAAAUAAUCAAAUGCUAGAAUUUAUUUUAAUAUCCUUUAGUAGAAAUAUACUAUAAUUAUUUCUCUUUUCUUUCUAUAGAUUGUCUCAACACAAUUUCUUUAAUCUAUACAUUUAACCAUAUCUCAAUAUUAAUUAAUAAAUCUCUAACCAAUAUUUAUCUAAAGAUAUAUCGAUUUUCUUCUCUCGUCAACAACGUGCAUAUAUACAAGUCUAAACCUAGCACACAUCAAGUCUUUAAUAGUAUUCAAUAUAGUACACUGAGUAAUUUCCCACAAACAACCAACGAAUUAAUUUUCGUCUCGUCUACACUGUUUUCACAGUGAGUUUGAUCGGUCACUAAUUCGUAUAUACUUCCGCUCUUUGAAGGAAUCGUUUAGCCUAGCUCCUAUACAUCCACCAUUAAAGGUACGGUUGCAUUGGCUUAGACUUGAUACUUACUCGUACAUAUACUCAAGAAAUUGGUGAUUAUCAAAGAUAUUUAAUGUCACCAACUUACUAUGAUAAAAUAAUUUCACAUAAAUUAUUUAAUAUCUAUAGAUAGAUUUCUAUCCAUCUUCUUUACUUCAAAUACCUCGCCUCUUGAAUAAACAAAAAAUAUAUAAUAUUAAUAUAUAUAUAUUAAACACAUAAAUCACUUAUUGCAUAGUUUAUAUUACCUCAUGCAACACAAUACCACAUACCUUUCAACGCAUAUAUAUAUAUAUAUAUAUAUAUAUAUAUAUAUAUAUAUAUUCUUAUUCGAACCCUUCUCAUGCCUUAAGAAUUUUAUUUGCUAAACUCUUAUUUUAAUAAUUUUUAAAAAUUCGGGUUCUUACAAUUCCCAGCUGAGCCAUAACCUCUGUUCCUGCAGUGAGGUUUAAGCUCUCAUUUUGCUGCCCAUACUUGCAUGGGUCCUAUCUUGUUAGUAUCCUUGGGGCCCCUGCUACAAGGCAUAACGAAUCCUCACAGAAGGAAGAAGCAGUCCAUCCCUGCUCUCUGACUUGACAUUGAUUAUUGAGGAAGGUAACUUGAUGACCCUUGUCGCAGAGUUGGCUUAUGCUCAGAAGAUUGUGUUUUAGUCCUUCCACAUAGGCUACUUUACUGAAGGACACUGCACCAUUCCCAGCUGAGCCAUAUCCUCUUGUCUUGCCAGAGCCAUUGUCUCCAAAGAUGACCGUUGGACCCUCCUUCUCUAUGAAGUUAGACAGGAGAGCUUUGUUACCGGUCAUGUGCCUUGAGCAUCCACUGUCCAGAUACCAAGUUGUGAUCGUGGAGCUCUGUUCCUGUGGUAAGAUUAAACUCUCAUUUUGGUACCCGUACUUCCAUGGGUCCUACCUUGUUAGUACCCAUGGAAACCUAAAUUUUCUUGACUUUGGGUCUAAAAUGCAAAUAAUUAUUGUAGCAUACUGUAGCCUUAUGGCCAAUUUUAUUACAUACAAAAUAUCUAGCAUGAUGCAUGGUUGUGUGUGUAUGUGGAUUCUUUCUCCAUUUGGACUUACGUGGGUUCUUGGCAAUCUUUUCUUUAUACUGGUUCUUCUUUUUCCAUGUAUCCUUGUGAUUCAGGAUUUGUGAAGAGUGAAGCUUAACUCUACUGUUCCUACCCAGUUGGUUCUUGGAGUUGAUUGUACUCGACUCUACGACCCUUCGAGGUUGGUGAGUAGUGACUAAGUUAUUUUUCUCUUUUCUGAAUCCUAGGCUAGUAUGGGAUCCAUUAUGCCUUGGAACAUGGAUUGGAUCAAAAGAGCAGGGAUGGACUGGUUCUUCCUUCUGUAAGGAUUUCACAAAUGCAAUGCUUCUAUUGAGGUUUGAAGCACUGCUAAUUUUUGUUUCCUUUAACUUUUCCACAUGUGGUUCUGAGGUGGAUUCCCCAAAACCUAAACCUGUUCUAUCUGAUGCACUUCUCUGACUGGAGAUCAAGGAGUCCAUGGAUGAAGAGGAUCUAUUACACGUUAAGAUUGUCUUUUCUAGUUCCUCAAUCUUAGAGGUUAGAUUUGACUCUCUUUGUGCAUUAAGUUCAUUGGUCUAUUUUAAGAGUUUAUUCUCAGCUUCAAAUUUAGAGAGAUAGUUAGCACUUAGAAGAGUUGUUUCUAGUUCUUCUUGAACAUUCUCUUUAUCUUUUUGAAGAAGAGAAUAAUCUUUAGACAGAACUCUGAACCAUUUCAUGUAUUGAUGCAGAUCAGAUGUUAUGCCAUGUAGUGCAGUUCUUAAAUCAUCAGUAUCUACAUCAGGAGAGUUAAAGUCAAAUACCUCAUCGAUACUUACUUCAUGAUUGUCAGUGUUUUUCUUAUCAUUUACAUUUUUGGCCAUUAGACACAGAUUUGCUACUUAAGGAUCUUCAUCAUCUCCAAACUCAGGAGUUGUUUCGUUGUCUGAGUCACUCAAUGAUCCUCCUACCACAAGACCUUUGUCUUUCUUCUGGAGCCGCUUGUUGCAUUUGAACUCUUUCUUUGGAUUAAUUUUUUUCUUCAAUUCUUCUCUAAGAUGAUUGUUGCAGUUUGCAAUGAAAUGGCCACGUUUCUUACAGUUGUAGCAUAAGUUAUUGAUCUACUCCUGAUUGUUGUUGUUGUUGAAUCUCUUAGGUUUACUGCUUCUGCCUUUAUGUAUAAACCUCUUGAGUCUUCUUACCAGCAUUGCAAUAUCCUCGUCAUCAUCUUCCUCAAAUUCAGAGUCAUUUUUAGUGUGAACUUUGGAUAUGGUUUCUUUUGCUUUGAGAGCAACUCCUUUAUCUUUCUUUCUUCCUUUAGAUAGAGUAUCUGCUCGUUGAGUCAGCUCCAGUUCGUAGGUGAGAAGGUUUCCAUAGAGUUGUUGAACAGUCAUUUCAUGCAGAUUCUUUGAUUCUCUGAUGGCAGUGGUUUUUGUAUCCCACUUUCUUGGUAAAUCUCUCAUGAACUUUAUGAUCAGAUCUUUGUUUGGAUAGAUCUUUCCAAAAGCUCGAAGAGAGUUGACCAGAACAUUGAAUCUUUCAUAAAUGGAAGUGACAUUUCCCCCUGGAACAUGGGCGAACAUUUCAUAUUAUUGAGUCUGAAGAGAUUGUUUUAUUUCUCUGACUUCUUCAGUUCCUUCAUGCAUAGUAAUAAAUGCUUCCCAGACUUCCCUUGCAAUUUUGCUAUUGACCACAUUUUCAAACAGAUCAUCUUUUAAAGACUGGAAUAGAAUAUUCUUGGCCUUUUUAUUGAGUUGGACAACUUUCUUUUCGUUGUCAGUCCAUUCAUCUUUGACCUUGAUUUGAACUCUGUUUGGAUCUUCCGUAGUUGGUGCGAGAUUUGUUGGAAUGUAGGGCCCAUUCAUGACAACUUCAAAUAGCUCUUCAUCUAUUAAGUCCAUGUAUGCUUGCAUACGAACUUUCUAGUUGGCAAAUUUAUCUUUGUUGCACAUUGAUGGCUUGCUGCCUCAUCCAGUCUUGGAUUCACUUAUCAGAUGUGCCAUUGGAUCUACUCAAGAUUUGUAGGAUGAUUGAGAGAACCUUCUCUGAUACCAAUUGUUAGUUCCCAGAGGCACAAUAGUUAUCUAGAAGGGGGGGUUGAAUAGAUAUUUUAAAAGAAAAUUCAAAAUACUUUGUUAGAUUUGUUAAUAAAUUAAUCACAACGAAAUAUAUGAUUUGUUUGUUCCCUUUUAAAGAUAAACUAAGUUAAUGGUUGACAAGAAGUUAUAACAGCUAUAGUAGUUAAAACAAGAAUAUAAAAAACAUAGAGAAUUUAAGUGGUUUAGAGCACUCAAGGCUUUUAGUCCACUCUUCUACUCCUCGAGUGGAAAUCCACUAAGGAUGUAUUUACAAUCUUUGAAUCUCACAUAUUCCUUCAAGACCACCAGUCUUGGAACUUCUUAGUUCAGUUAGAACUCUUCAAGUCCAGCAGACUUGGAAUACACUUGAUGAGAGUUGAGUUUUUUGGGUUGUGCUACUCAAUUGUUGUUAAGCAUAUGUUCGAAAGAAUUGAGUAGCUGAGCAAGCUUUCUUUCUUGAUUAUAGAGUUGAGAGUUGAGUGUUCUUCAGCUUUUCGUUGUGUGCUCACUUGCUUGCUUCCUUGCAUCUGAUUUGUAUAUAAGGUGCCUUUGAAUUAUGUUCGUUUGAAGGCAUCCGUUGAAACAUUAAUUGUAUUUGACAUUUCUGAGCACUGAUGGUGACUUCUUAGAAAUAUUAUGCUUAGCCGUCUGGCCCACUGACACAGCAGACUGCUAUCUCACCUAACACCUAAAAAGGUGUUUUCAGCUAACAUGUAGUACUUUCCUUAGCUUCUUCAAUACAUUUCUUUGUUAUAUACUAAGGAUGAGUGUUGGGUCAUUGGGAUUCCCGAGAGUCUCAACGUCUAUAAUCCAUUCCACAUUUGUUGUAAUUAUUUUUUCAACAAAUGGACAAAGCUCGAUGCUUCUGAUGUAGACAGAUGAUGCACUACGAUUAUGAUCGUGGUGUCUUGUCUCAUUCGUGCUUGAAACAGACUGAUAGAAGAGAACACUAUGAUUUCUCUUAAGCACCGGUAGACUACGAUCUUUGCUUUUUUGAUUUGCAUACUCUAUGCUUUGAAGAGCAGACUACGAGUCUUGAUUUGGCUCGGUAGGCAUUUGGACCACUCUAUGAUUCUGGGAGAGGCCCUCCAAAGCAGACAGACUAUGAUUCUUAAUACUCUAUGUUUCUGCCUUGGUUUCUGCAAACUCUUGGCUAGCUCAACAGACUACGAUUUUGUUGAAACCUAUCUAUUACAUUUCAAAAUAGAUCAACCUAACAACUUUGAUCUUUUCUUCUAUACAUUCAUUUACAAAAUGAUAACCAUAAAGCACAAAUCAAACCUAACAAGUUUUGAUCUACCACUAAGUCCUUGUACAAGUAUCCCUUGAAGGACUUUACAUAUAAGCAUGUUUAUUUACUUUCAACAUCAAAUUUAAAUAUACAAUUCCCAACAAAUUGAAUUAUAAAUCUUUAAUAUUUAUCCUUAAUCUCACUUGAUUGAUUUCUUAUAUCAUUGUCAUCAUCCUCAUGCUUAUAUUGUGGUGAAAGUCAUCUUUGGCAUGUAGUGCAUAGAUGGACUGUUGAUUGGUAUGAUUAUGACCAGGAAUUAUGUAUUGGUAUAAUCAUGGCCUGUAAUGUUACAAAUGAUGUGGUAAAAGUCAUCUUUGGCCCGUAGUGCAUAGAUGGACAUUUGUUUGGCAUGAUCAUGACCACUGGUGAUAAUAACUAAUAUCCUUGGCCCGUAGCACAUGGAUAAUUCGUGGAUGUGAUGCUAAUGAAUAUCCUUGGCACGUAGUGUAUGGAUAAUUCGGUGAUAUGGAUUAUUUAUUGAGUUAUGUUAUAGAAAUAAAAUAUUGAUGAUGAACUUUUAAAUCAUAGAAGAUAGUAGACAUCAUGCUCUACUUGACUCUUCUAAUGGAUUGCUUAUUCUGCUGUAUAUGUUGAUCAAAACAAGUUUUUUAUUGUAUUCUAUCAGUUUUUACAUUGUUGAGGACUAAGGAUAAUUUAUUAUAUAUUAUCUUAGUCAUAAUAUUCUUUAUUGGGCUAGUUGAGCUCACCCUUUUCUUUCAUUAUUCUCUUCAGGAAAUGAUAAUAUAGCUUAAACUAGUCGGGGAAUGGAGUGAUGGUCCAAGAUGGUGGCUAUAGUAGUCCUCACUAUUCUAUGAAAUAGUGUAAUAAUAAUUGUAAUGAGGACUUCAUUUGAGUUUGGAUAUUGUCUACGAUGUUAGUUCCCGGAGGCACAAUAGUUAUCUAGAAGGGGGGGUUGAAUAGAUAUUUAAAAAACUUUUCGUUUUAACUUGUUAGUAGAUAAUGAUUAAAACUUUAGCGGAAUUAAUAUUAGUUUUAAUCUCCCUUAAGAUAGUGAGUUUAUGAGAGUGAGGCAGAUAUAGCAGAUAUAGCAGUUAUAGUAAGAAUGUAAGAGACACAGUCGUUUUAAGUGGUUCAGAGCACUUAAAGCUCCUAGUCCACUCUUCUACUCCUCGAGUAGGAAAUCCACUAAGGAUGUCUUUUACAAUUUCUGAAUCACUUAGAUUCCUUCUAGACCAGCAGUCUAGGAACUUCUUAGUUCACUCUUGAACUCUUCAAGUCCAGCAGACUUGGCUCUUUUACAGUUCACUUAGAACUCUUCAAGUCCUUCUGACUUGGAACUUUUUCUUCAGUUGAUUGAUAGAUGUUGAGUUCUUGAUGGUUGCUACUCAGUUGUUGUUUAAGCACUUGUUCGAAAGAACUGAGUAGCUGAGCAAGCUUUUCUUUUUCUCAGAUCGUAGAGUUGAGCGUUGAGAGUUCUUGUACGUUUUUGUUCAAUACUUGCUUGCUUCUCUCAUCUACUUGAUUUGCAUAUAUGUGAUCUUGAAAACUAUCCAUUGGAUCCAUCUGUUGAAGCAUUAAAUGAAUUUGAACUUUCUGUUCUUUGAUGGAGACUUUUAUGAACAUCUUCUGAAUUGCAUUCUGGCUCAUUGACACAGCAGACUGCUUUCUCACCUAACACCUGAAAAGGUGUUUUCCCCCUUACCAAUGGUAUUUUCCUUAGCUUUUUCAAUACGCUUCUUUGUUGCAUACUAAUGAUAUCUUUUAUGCCUUUGGGACUAGUGAGUACUACAACGUUUAGAAUCCAUUCCUCAUAUGUUGGAGUUUGUCUCCACAUAAAGCGUGAGGCUUGAUGCUUCUGACACAAGACAAAUGAUACUCUACGAUUCAGAUCGUGGUGACUUGUCGCCUUGGUGCUUGGUCUGAUGCUAUCAGUCGAGAGCACUACGAUUUCUCUUAAAUACUUUCACACUACGAUCUUCGCUUGCUUGAAUUGUAAACUCUACGUUUCCAAGAGCACACUACAAUCUCUGAGUUGGCUCGGCAAACGUUGGGACCACUCUACGAUUUCCGAAGAGGCCCUUCAAGGUAGGCACACUACGAUCCUUGAGGCUCUUCAUUUCUGCCUUGACUUCUGCCAUCUUGAUCAGAUUGAUGCACUACAAAUUCUUCGAAGCCUAUCUAUUACAUCUCAAGAUCAACCUAACAACUUUGAUCUUUCUAUCUAUACAUUCAUUUCAAGAAUGAUACACAUUAAGAGCUUAGAUCAACCUAACAAAUUUUUGAUCUAUCACUAAGUCUUUGUACAUAUAUUCCUUGAAGGACUUUACAAAUAAUCAUGAGCAUUUAUAUUUAAACAUCAAAUCAACAUAUAUAUUCUCCCAACAAUCUCCCCCUAUUUGAUGUUGACAUAACCAAGGAGAUUUGUUGUCAUGAUUAUUAGUAUCUAGAUGCACUUGCAGGAAAUUUAAACAUGACUUAGUAUUUUAGCGAGCAGCUGAAAUUUCUAGAGAAUAAGCAUGAAUUUAUUCAUGAUUGAAGAGUAUUACAAUUUAGCUUUACAUCAAUAAGAAUUUAAACUUUCACUUUUCUCUAUUUAUUUGGUCUUUUGCAUGGAGGAUUGGCAUACUCCUCAGCCUUCUUUUACUGCUUGCUUCAUCCCCUAUGGCUAUCUCUUCCAGCUCACUUGGGAUUAACCUUGGGUUAUGAUCAUGCUUAUUCAUGAAUGCAGGAUCUCCAAUUGGCAUUAUUAGGCCUGUAGUGGUCAUAUUUUGUGAGCUGAUAGUUGGCCCUUGACUCCUUAUUAGCUUAGCCAUUAAGACUUCCUGCUGAUCUGAUCAUUGAGUCUGAUUGCUUGAUCGUGGAGUCUGUUGAUGGCUUCUUGAAGCUUGAGUGUGGAAUUAUCCUCUACCUCUUCCUUGGCUUCCUUGACCUCCUCUGCCUCCGCCCUGGGUCCUUCUCCUUUCCCUUUAUUCUCCCCCUUUAUGUUAGCAUCAAGGGUUCGAAUGUCUAUUGAGAGGCGAUUCAGGACUUGGACAAGCUCGUUGAGCUAACUUUUAGUCUGAGCAAUGUCCUCUCGAUUUUCAUCGAUUAGAGCUUCAGACCGAGAUUCCCUUUGCUGGAGAACUGAUAGAAUGUUGUCAGUUUAUUUUCCACUGCUGAUGUAGAAUUUUUGGAAUUCUUUAACGGCAGUUUGUAGAUUGAGGAAGCUUUCCAACAUGUUUUUAUUCUGAUUUUUUUGAGUUGUUUAUAGGGAAAGGACAGCUUCUCUAUGUUUCUUGGCUGCUAGAAAGUGAAUGUCAUCCCGGUCCUUUAAGCUUUGAAUCAUUUUCUUGACAAACUCCUUAAGUGUCUUAGAGAGCGUAGAGCUUAGGGAUUGUGGGAGUUUAUUGGCAGCAUUAAUCAUUGUUGUUAAUCACAGCUGAAUGAGGUCAGUGUGUUCUUCAAGACUCUCAUCGAGUUCCUUGAUCACAUUCUUAGACAUUUCCGACAAGUCAGCUUUUGUGGACAACUCAGAAAGAAUUUCAUUCAGUUGGGGAGUUUGUGAGGAAGGGGUUUGUCUCUGGUAUUUAUCUUGUAGUGAGUAGAGGGCAAGAUCGAGAUUGAAGUAUUCGUUGCUGGAUGAGGAGGGAAUAUCUGAUGGAGGGGCCUGGGUUUGGAUGUUUAGGUUUGGUGAAUCUACAAUUUGAGGUGGAGACUCUGCAAUGAGGCUAGAGUCAGUGAUCGUAGAGAUGAUGGGAUGUGGGAGCAUUAUGAAGUUGAUCACAUUUGGUUCCUCAGUUACAGAAUUUUGGGAUUCUGCAACUGGAAAUUGAUUUAGUGGAUUAAGAAUUACUUCCAACCAUCGUGGGAAUUUAAAAAAUUGAUUAAAUGAGGAUGAUGGCAAGUGAUUAACUCUGUAGAGGGUUGGGAUAGACAGUACCUUAGGUUUAUACUUUGAGGAAGAGUUGUUUGUGUUAGGUUUGUAAUAUUCAUGAACGCAAUCAAAUUGCAUAAAAUAAGCGGAAACGUGUAAAAAUCAGAGUUUAAAAUUUUAUAAACCAUAUACCUGGAUCACCCUUUAUGCACAAUUAUUAAUUAAACGAAAAGAUAAGAACAAGAAUCAUACCCUUGAAGAUCUGAGCUUCCUCAGGUACAAGUUCACCUCCAAUCCUUUUCGCGUUCAACUUGAAUCCACCGGGUUUGGUUCCUUCCUUUGAUCAACGUUAGCUACCCAAGUGUUUGGCCUCUAGAGGUGAUCCACCAAUGAAGAAGAAAGAUUCAAGAAGAUGGGUAUUUGGCUCAAACCCUAGUUUUCUAUGUCUAUAGAAAAGUAGCGUACUCUCCAACAAUUGAAAAUCACGUAUAUCUGAUAUCUGAUAUAAGACUCCUCUUAUAAAGAUAUCAAGUAACCCUAUUAAAAUAAGGUAUUAUUUAUUUAAUUAAACUCUUUUAAUUAAAUGGGCUCCCUAAUCUUAUUAGGGAUAAUUAAUUAAACUCAUUUAACUAAUUUUCCCUCCUAAUCCUAUUAGGAAUAAAUGAGAGUANNNNNNNNNNNNNNNNNNNNNNNNNNNNNNNNNNNNNNNNNNNNNNNNNNNNNNNNNNNNNNNNNNNNNNNNNNNNNNNNNNNNNNNNNNNNNNNNNNNNAUGAUAUAGAUUUCAACAUUAAUCAUACAAGAACCUUUGAGUAAAUAGUUACCGUACAAUUCAAUCCUUCCACCAUACAAUGUCCUAAUUAAAUAUAAGACAUGAAAUUACUGUCAACUCUCCUAUUGCUCAGUGUAUUGUUGUCUAAAGGGCUACUAGUAGAAAUGCUAUCAAGCCCUGAGGCAGCCCCUUUGGGAGCAGAUCAGGGGGCAGAGCAGCUCAUAGUAAGAGAAAGAGCCAGUCAUAACGCAAGGCAAGAGGUGAGCAACGGAGAAAGCUGCAACAGCAAAAGCAGGUCAGUAGCAGCCAGUAAGGUCUUCCCUUACUCUAUUUCCUGUGAGGAAAUAGUCGGAAAGGGUCUUAUUUUAUUUAAUUAUAUGUAUUUCGACUCUUAAAUGCACAACUCCAAAUAAUGAAAAUUAGAAACUCCUUUCUAAUUUCAUCAUGCCUUGGCCAAGGACUACUGAGUUGUCAUUUAUCGAAUCACAUAGGACAUUUCUCUUCUUUUACUGGAAGUGGUAGAUUCUUUAUUGAUCAUACAUUAUCUCCAUGUACAAUUUAUUAUACCCAAGCAUACCCUUUGAUAUACCCUAAGGGUAUUAAGGAAUAAGUCAAAGUAUAACUCAUCAUACACAAGAUACUAUGAUGAUCUCAAGUCCAAGGAUCACUUGUACUACUAUCACUACAGGAAUUCCUAUUGACAGACAAGUAAAACUCCAUUAGGUAUUCCUUAGCGAGCCACGUUCAGUGAACUUAUUCUCUAAUAAGCACCUACAUACUUGCUUUAGUGUCUCCACACAAAUGAUCAUGAGAUCAAUCAUCCUCAUCCAAUGAGCAAGCAACGUAUGUACCAAUCUAUUCGGAUUUACUAAUCCCUAAUUUAGUAAUCCAACGAUUGGGAACUAUUUUAGUUUUAAGCUUUCUAAGAAUUUAGAUCUCAUUAGAAUGAUCAUCAUCAUUAUUCUAAAAGCAUUGCUUAAAACUAUGGGUUUAUCACAUAUUGAAAAACAACAUCAUGUAGAUAAUUAAAAGCCUUUAAUAAAUAAAUACUUUUUUAUUAAUAAAUGAAUAAGAUUGUUGCAAAGUAUAUGCUUUAUCAUCAAACAUGAUUGGCUUAUAUGCAUACUACUUUCAGUUUGUGAGUAACUUCUUAGCAAAGUUAAAUCUUCCUGGGAAUCCAUUGGCUAGUACUGAGAUGGCCGGAUACUCUUUGAAGCUCCAAAACAUGUGAUUCCAGGAAUUUAGAAUUUGAGCUUGAUGAAAAGGCAUCAUGGGUAGAUAUGAAAAUAGUUGCUCAUAGUUGGCUUUUCUGUACCCAUCAAUGCCCACAGCUAUGAUCUCGACCUCGUCACCUUCAUCCUCUUCUCUAUUUUCGUUGGAGGAUUCCAUUAUCUCAAUGGCCUCAUAAUGUUCUUGCACUGGUUCUUCUUCAUUUCUUGCAAGGACCUCUUCUUCUGCCAUGGAGAUGUCAUGAGCCUCCCCCUCAACUUGAUCAUCUUCUUAUACGGUCAAUAACUCCCCCUCAACUGGAGCAUUGUUAUCUUGGCUUGCUUUGGAUAGUUCCUUUUUGGCAGCCAUACUCUUGUCUUCCUCUUUGAGCACUUUUUCAUUUUCAAGGAUAUAUUCUUGACCAGUUUUCUUCUUAAUUUUCUAGGCUGAGCCACAGCCUCAGGACUUUCUUGAACUUCAGUUUUGUCCUGUUGAUCACCCAGACUAUCAGGUGUGGCAGCUUCUUUGCUCGAGGUGUUUGGUCUGGUCUCUACGAUCAGUAGAGACUCUACAAUUGAAGAGAGAGAUGGCCUUUUGGGUUUGUGGCUGAUCUUAUUCUUCUUCAGCAGCUGAGAUAUGGUAGCUCUAUCUUUUUCUGCCUCAGCCUGCUGUUGCUUCUUUCUCAGCAUCCUUAGAGUCUCAAUGUCAGAGGACUCUACAGGUUUAUCAGUUGUGGAUCCCUGGGGUUCUUUUUCCAUCUUAGCCUUAAGCUUCCUCUUGCCCUUGCUUUUUCUGAUAAGGGCAGAGGGUUCUCCCUUGUUUGUUUCUUCUUCUUCUCCGUUAAUUUCUCUGACAACUGACAUAUUUCCUAGCACUCCUGAUUCCUUCAUUUCACCAGUUUUUCCACUGAAUUCAAACAACAUCCGUACAUUUUUAGCUGGAUUCCUUUUCCAGUUUUCAAAUAUUUGUUGGGUCAUUCGCCUGUUUGGAUUAAUGGCUUCUCCUUCGUUGUCCUUAAUCUUGUCACCCAAAGCAGCUUGUAGGAUGAUGCUUAUAAAUCGCCCGUACAGUAUCUUUUGAGAGCUCUUUGUCUUCUUUGAGCUGAUUAACCACUUCCCAAUCCAUUCAAGCAAUAGAGCCCCAUAGUUAAGUUGUAUUUCAUAACUUAUAGCAGUCAUGAGCUUGAGUUGCACCUCAUUUACAGAGUCAUAACCAGAGCUCUUGCAACAUAUACAUUUUCUAACAAUAUCAGCUAGAAAUUCAUACCUAUGUGGAAACUCCUUCUUCUUGUAUCCUUUGACAGAGGGUGAUUUCUUGUGAUGCAUCGUUUUGAGUCCCUUAUGGAAAUCUAGGCCAUCUAUGGACGGAUAUCCUUCAGGUUUGAGACCUAGGACUAGAUUGAUGUCCUCAGCCUUUAGUCUGAUUUCUACAUUCCUGACUUUUGCAGUGAUGGUGUUAUUUUCAAAAACACCAUUAUUGUAGAAAUCUUUUAACAGCUUCGGCUAGAUCAAUGUGUCUAUACCCAAAGCUUCUUCGAGAUGAUGGGGUUCUGCUAUCGUUGAGUCUGCACUACGAUGGUUGAGUUUAUGCUACGAUCGUUUUUUUUUUCAUGUCACUUCAACUCUACGAUCGUGAACUUCCCUUGAUCAUGUCUUCGAUUUCAACCAUAGCCUUUGUAUCUAUAUAGUUAGCACAUACUAGAGCAUAUAUUUCAUGGUUGUAAAUUAAGCAUUCCUAGCUCACUUAUUAACUUGUUAAACCUGGAUUCAUCUAGAGGUUUUGUAAAAACAUCAGCAAGUUAAUUUUCAGUAGGGAUAUAUUGUAAAGAUAUAGUUCCAUUUUGCACAUGAUCCCUAAUGAAGUGAUACCUUAUUUCUAUAUGUUUAGUCCUAGAAUGCAUAACAUGAUUAUGAGUUGUUGAUAUGGCACUUGUGUUAUCACAGUGAAUGGGAAUGGAUUUGAAAUCAAACCCAUAAUCAGCUAGCUAAUUUUUCAUCCAUAGGAUCUGAGCACAGCAGCUGCCAACAGCAACGUACUCAGCUUCUACAGUUGACGUAGAUACUGAGAUUUGCUUUUUGCUAAACCAGGACACAAGUCUAUUUUCUAGCAAUUGACAGAUGCCACUGGUACUCUUUCUAUCUAUUUUGCAGCCUGCAAAAUCAGCAUCUAUGUAUCCUGUUAGUUCAAAUGAGGAUUCCUUGGGGUACCAAAGCCCCAAGUAAGGUGUACCCUUGAGAUACAUGAGAAUCCUCUUUACCGCAGAUAAAUGUGAUUCUUUAGGGUUAGCCUGAAAUCUAGCACAUAUGCAUGUUGCAAACUUAUGUCUGGUCUACUGGCAGUUAGAUAUAAAAGAGAUCCUAUCAUACCUCUGUAUUGAGUUAUAUCAAUACUUUUACCUUUUUCAUCUUUUACCUCUGUAUUGAGCAAUUGGGAUUUUCAUGGGAGAGGCUGAUUCCAUGCCAUACUUCUUAAGUAAAUCUUUGAUGUACUUGGCUUGGUUUAUGAAGAUUCCUUCAUCAGUCUUCUUUACUUGCAGUCCAAGGAAGAAAUUCAGCUCACCCAUCAUGCUCAUUUCAAACUUGUUCUGCAUUAGCUUGGAGAAUCUCUUGCAUAACGUUUCGUCAGUAGAACCAAAAAUAAUAUCAUCAACAUAUAUUUGAACCAAUAAGACUUUGUCUUUAUGCUUUCUAAGAAAUAAUGGGGUAUCUACUCUACCUCUAGUGAAUCCAUUUUCAAUCAGGAAGUUAGUUAGUGUUUCAUACCACGCUCUAGGUGCUUGUUUAAGACCAUAUAAGGCUUUGUCUAAUCUAUAAACAUAAUUAGAAAGAGAUAGAUUGAUGAAACCUGGACGUUGCUCUACAUAGACUUCUUGAAGUUCUCCAUUCAGGAAUGCACUUUUGACAUCCAUCUGAAAGACCUUGAACUUCAUGUGAGCAGCAAAGGCAAGAAAGAUUCUGAUGGCUUCUAGUCUGGCAACAGGUGCAAAUGUCUCAUCGUAGUCAAUACCUUCUUCCUGAGAGUAGCCCUUGGCCACUAAUCUUUCCUUAUUCCUGGUUAUUACUCCAUCUUCAUCCAUCUUAUUUCUGAAGACCCACUUGGUUCCAAUGACAGGAUGACUCUUUGGUUUUGGUACCAAUCUCCAUACUUUGCUUCUUUCAAAUUGGUUGAGUUCUUCCUGCAUGGCUUUUAUCCAGCUGGAGUCUUCCAUAGCAUCCUCUAUCUUCUUCGGUUCCAUUUGUGACAGAAAGCUUAGAUAAAAGCAUUCAUUUUAGGUGGCAGUUCUUGUUUUGACUCUUGCACUCGGAUCUCCAAUGAUUAGAUCUUGAGUGUGAUUUCUUGCCCAUCUAUUUUUCGGUUGGAACAUCUGUCCUGAUACCUUCUUGUCUUAAAUCUUCAAGAUCUAUCUCUUCUUCUUGGUGUGGAGGUUUGUUGUCUUGCAUAUACCUCUCUACGAUCUCAUUUUCUUGCUCAACAAUUUCACUAUCUGGCAUUGCGAUCGUAGUGUUGAGCUUGACGACUUCAUCUGUAGUGUUUGCACUAUCGGUCGUAGUGUCUUGAGGCACUGUUUUGUCUAAGUCUAUUUCAUCAAAGAUGAUGUGAAUCGAGACUUCAACACUCAGUGUCUUCUUGUUGAACACUCGGUAGGCCUUACUGUCUGUGGCAUCACUACUACAAAAUACUAAAUAGACAACACUUAAACCAUAAUAUUUUUUUAUAAAAACGUUGUGGUAUUUUUUUCACAACAUUUUUUUAAAAAACGUUGUAAAUAUAUAUGCAAAAACGUUAUCUAUUUAAAAGAGCAUUUUUUUGGUUUUAACUAGAUAGCAUUUUUUUUAAAACGUUGUGUAUCAAAAAAACACGGAGCUCUAAUUGAACCCUUAAAAUUAAAAAACACGUAGUUUCGUUCGUUCGCUCUUCAAUUUCCUCUCUUUCGUUCCUUCUCUCUUCAGUUUCCUCUCUUCAGUUUCCUUCUCUUUCAGUUUUCUUCUAUCGUUAUGUAGUUUUGGUUGUGUUCUGAUUACUGAACUUGGAAAAGGUGGAGAAGAUUCUGAGCGACGUCUGCACUGGCCGAUCUACCGUAACAUCGCUCAAGCCCUAAUUUACAAGGCACCGGCCGAUCUGCCUGGCAUGUCGGUAACAUCGCUCAAGCCCUAAUUUACAAGGCAGCCUCUUCUCUGUCUUUCUCGAGUUCUUGCUGUAAGGAACGAUUUAUCAAAAUUACAACUUAUAUCUCCGGUAUGCACCAGCAAAGGGGAGAAAAUUGCACUGAGCCGGCGGGUUGAAAAACAUUGGCGUCUUAUUGGUUGGGGACAGAUUCAAGCAUGUACAACCCUUGAUGUUCCUCCCAGUCCACUCUGAGGAAUGUUGAAACAAUCUGAGGAAUAAUUAAAAUAACCAUGUCCCUCUCUUACGAGGACGUGUUUUUAAGGAGGAGGAUUUUGGGCCUCAAUUUGAAUUUGGCAUCAUCAAUUUCUUCUCCAAAACAUAAUCUCAUCUCCUCCAGGUACCUAUAACUCAAAUUUCAGCUUCCACACUUUUAUAAUUAUGUGUCUUCUGCCGAUUAUUAUCACUUGUUUUUGUGUUUUUCUAUUACCAAAUUCAAACUUCAUUUUAGCACUGGUAUUAAUAUCAAUAAAAUUUUGACAUUCGUAUGGUCAGUCAAUUAACAGCAGUGGUAAAGUUGUUUUUUCUUAUUUGCAGGUACUUGAAAAAAUGUUGCAUUAACAUGUGUUUUGGGAGGUUCACUCCCUUUUUACAUAAAGAUUCACAGAAUUCUCAUACCAUUGUAUGUUUUCUCGCUACUCAUACUCCUCUUUUUUGCUUCUAUUACCAUGUAUGAUGAUAAAAACAAUUCUUACAAAUGGUUAUGUAUUAUAGUUACUCACUUCUCUCUAGUUUAAAGCAGCUAAUCUUGCUUCACUCUAUAUAUACUUCUCUUGAACUAAUCAAAUUUUUUUUUCUUUUGCAUCUCUGCCAAUAUGUCAGUAUUGGCGUGCACGUUGUGUAUAUGCAACUGUUUGUUCAAACAAUGAGCAUGUUUAAGGGGGCAACAUAUAUCCUUAUAGUAAAAUGAGAAAAUUUGAGUAGGAGAAUAAAAAAACAGUAUAAUGUUUUCCUUUUUCUUGCAGCUUAGAUAGUACAGUUUGGGGGUGAUUACCUCAAUAACUAUGUUUAUCCCAAUUAUCCUCAAGAUUGGGGGUAUCACCCAGAUUCUGAAUGGAGUUAUAACUAUCAAGACCAAUAUUGUGCCCCAAGUCCAACACAUCCAUCGAAUUUCUUAUAUCCACCUCCAAUGCAACAAGAAGAAAAUUCAAGGUUGAAGAAAGUUAUGUCAAACAACAUAGCAGACCAUGAAGAGAUGAUGAUGAGUCAGGAGUUAUCAAGCCAAAAUCUUGACAGACAGAUGGAACAACUCAUUAAUUCGUCAAUGAAUGGUCCUCAAUACAUGGAAUUUGAAACUGAGAAAGAUAAUUCAAAAAGGGUGGAUUUGUGGUUCAAAGUUGUAGCAUCAACUGAGGAGAAGAUGAUUGAGCAAGAGAGGUCAAUUCGAAAGCUUCAGAAUCUUAUGAAUCAAAUGUUCGAAGCCUUGAACAAUCGCCCUCUAAACAAUUGGUGCUAUGACAUGGAUGAUGAAAUCGAUGGAGAGCCAGAAGUGUACAUGCCACUGAAUGAACUGAAAGGAGUGGACAUUGAGGAGACAACUGGGGGUAUGGAAAAUAAAGAACAUGAGCUGACUUGUAUAAUACCCCAAGUGCCUUCUCGAUUAGAGUUGAAAAAUUCAGUGAACUUUUCACACCCAUGUCCCCUUGGUAGUCACAUCCAAAGCAAUAAUUUCUGUGAUUAUGAGGCCUCUUACAAACCAUGGUGGGCUGCGGAAGAGAUAAUAAAAGAAGAAAAGCAUGUUGUAUCUUUCAUGCCUCAAUGCAAAAAUCUAUUCACAGAUAUAACGGGAGAAGCACCUGGCGAUGCAAUAGAAAUGGAGACAUCAUGUACAAGAAAUAUGCUAGGUGACUUCAAUCCGAAGACUCUCAUGAUGGGGAACCUACCAAAGCACAUAGCGGUUCUAAUGGAUGGAGGGUUCUUAUCUUAUCGUAGAGGAAUUGGAUAGCCGUCUCAAGAAAAGAGUCUAGCUAACGGACUAUAAACCGAGCGCUAGAUGGGAGGCACCCCAUCUAAUCUUUCUCCCUCCUUGUUUAAUUCUUAUUUACAUUUCCAUAUUUAGUAGAGGUUAGAUAGUGGUAAGUAUGAAUAAUAGUUUGAUUGUUUCUCCUUUCAGGUUCAAUCCAAUUGCUAUAAGCAUUCAGGAUCAAAUAGAAGUCAAAAACUGAAGCUGCUAGAGUACAGGGUUGCGCGGCCGCGCGACCCUACAAGCCAAACACCACGCGGCCGUGUGAUAACUUAGUUACAGAAAAAAAAAAUUGCUGAAUUUUUAGAAUUUCUGAUGAAAGCGUUCGGACAGUUAGAAGCCCACACUCAGUUUCCAACUAUAGAAUAUCUCAAACUUAGCCAUCGCCUGAUAUACCAUCGGAUCAUGAGGAAGCGAACGGAGAUGACAUUGCCACUUAGGGGAGUAUUCUAUCACUUUUAAUUACAAUGAGGGCAUUAUUUAUUUUAAGUUUGGGGGUAUUGGGUUGUAGUGAGUAGUUGUUGCAUAUAUUUAGUUGCAUAUAGUUUUAUUGCAUGUUUAAGUUGCAUAGUAGGGGUAUUUUAAUAUGAUUUUUUUUAUUUUUUUUUAUUUUUAUCUAUUUUUUUUUAGUUUUCUUUUGUCUUGUUUAUUUAGUGUGUGUUUAGUUGCAUAACAUUACAUAAUCCCAGAUUUGUAGUUAAUUGAAUUCUAAUUUGGCCAAUGAUGAAAUAGAAAUUUGAUAGAUUUUUGAAUUUGGUUGAUAUCUUGAGCUUAGUUAUAAUUUUAUACACGAGAUAAUUCAUGCUUGUUGUUUAGAUGUUACCAGGUAGCACGAUAAUGUUCCUAUUUGCUUGUUGGUUAAGAUUAGCAUGCUUGUCUGUUGAGAGGAAAAUGUUGUUUUUAAUGAUAGAAUUGUGUAGGAAGUGAGACAUAGACUAUGAAAACACAGAUACUCAAACUUUGAGAACACAUGGGUAUGCUUGCUAUUGGGACGAGAUGGAGCGUAAAACGCACUCGUUUAAAUGGAAAUGGAAAGCGAGAUGGAGCGUAAAACGCACUCGUUUAAAUGGAAAUGGAAAGUGAGAUGGAGCGUAAAACGCACUCGCUAUAUACAUAUUUAAAAAAAAUCAAUAAACACCGCGGGAAAGUGCGAGAAUCGCCCUCGUGAGUAAAAAACAAAGCAGAAUAAACCCAUUGUUGAACCUUAGUUUGUAUUGAUGUGUUGGAGUAGUUGAUGUCUCAUGAGUAUAUGCAGUUCUUGAGUUAAACUUCAAUUUUCUGCCUUAAGCAAUAAAGCAUGUGGUAUUUUCACCUUUGUCAAGCUUAUCUGUGAACACAUCACACACACACACAACAUCUUUAUAGCAGGUUAGGAUUAUAUGAUUGUAUGUCAUUAUGCCUCUAGCUUAGGUUGAUGCUUUGUUCUUGGAUCUGGAUAUUUCUUUUAGGCAUAUCUUAUUAGAAUUCUUAACAUGACUGGAAAUCUGGGGAUUCAUUGUCAUAGUAGCAUAGCUUGCAUAGCAUGUAGAUUGCAUUAGCAUUGUUGUUGCUUGAGGGCAAGCAAUAGUUCAAGUUUGGGGGUAUUUGAUAAGUGAUAUUUUUACUCACUUAUUGAAUAUUAAUCCAUCCGAAUUGUGCCCACCUCGAGUACAUUUCAUUAUGUUUUAGUUGUAUUUAACGUUAUUUUGCAUUGCAUAUACUUAAAACUCCUUUUGGUGAAUAAUUGCAGGAAUCGGCUUCAUUUUGGUGGAAUUCGAGGUAUCGGUGAGCGGAUGCGUGAAGGCUAGUUGAAAGGCGAGGAUGUGCAUGGCAUGGGGUUACAAUGAGGCAUAGAAAUCAAGCAAGCAUGAGAAUUAAAGCAAGUAGCAACAACAACAAGUAGGAAACCAGACUUAGGAAUUGCAGGACACAGGCCGAGCGGUAGUACUAAGGCAGACUCACACGCCCGCGCGAGUACAGAGCUUUACAUGGGAAUCUUCUGCAAGUCAAGCGCCCGCGAGGCAAGGGAUGCGCGCCCGCGAGAGACUCAGCUCGCGCUCGCGAGGCAUGAGCGCGCGACCGCGCGAGAGGACGUCUGGUUUGGUCUGAACUUACUGUGAGUCUCGCGGCCGCGAGCCAGAGACACUAGGGACGCGCGCGAUGCUGAUGCUGUAAUUUGUUUUAUUUUUAUUUCUCAACUUAAUGAUGUGUAAUGUGGUAUAAAACGAUUCUGACGUGUGUCAGAGAGCAGACUUGACUUUUAUUACGUACUUUUCAUAGUAGAAACUAGGGUUUACACCUUGGGAGAGAUUCCAACAUAGGAGAAAGCCAUAACGUCUAUUUUUCUCUACUUCUUCUUGGAGAUCUUUGUCAUCGUGGAUAUUGAUUAUUGUUUAUUGGAUUUCUUUGUGGAUUUAAUAGUUAAUCUUUGAUUUCUAUUCAGCGAUUCGGUUUGAUCGUUCUAUCCUUCUUACUUUGAUUGUUUGUUUAUAGAUCAUGUUUAGCCUUGAUCCCAUAAUGGCUUUUGGUUCAGUCAUGAACUAAACUCCAUUAUGGGACUCUAAUGUAUUUUAAUAUGUAGUUUGGUUGCACAUCUAAAUGUUAGAUUUGUUUUGCAUAUCAUAUUGGUUAUCUAUCAUGGUUGUUUUACAUAUGUGAAUGACUGAUAAUCAUUCGUUUCAGUAUUUGUAUGGAAUUGGAAAUGAACAUAUAAAUAUGGAUUGUAAUCAUGAUAGCAUACGAAUAUGGGGCUAGAGUAAGUCUUGCAUAUUUUGUGAAUCAGAUAGGAAUAUACUGUUUCACUGUAUGAACUAGAAUAAGAGUUGUGCUUAAAAUCAAUAGGGUUGCAAUUGCGCAUAGGAAUAUGGUAGUUGUAAUGGUAUUGGUGAUUACAUAGAUUCUAACAUCUGUAGAUGAUAUGUGAGUUGGUUAUAGUGCAUUGGAAAAUGGUUAUAACUCUCUUUGUGCUCUUGGUUAUUAUCCUGUGAUAUGUGAACACUUCUUGCAUGACAUAUGGCGAUUCAACGAAAUAUUGAAUGAAGUUAGGAUCCCACUAUUUCCAUAUUAUAUUUAGUCCAUUUAUAUUCUUAUUUUUAGGUGGUAAUCAUAAGUAGUUUAAAUCAACAAUUGAGUCAAUAGUCUUAGCAUAUAAAUAUAGUGAGUUAAUUAAUGCAUAGUAGUCUAAGGUUAACAACUUUCUCUGUGGGAUCAAUACUUUACUUACUCUGUAUUACUUGUUGACACAUGUAUGCUUGCAUGAGUUAGAGCUCUUUUAUUAGAACUAUAAAAGAGGCAACACUCACCAACGAGGAGAACGUGCAACAGGCUGGCAAUGUUCCUCCUGUGAACAACACCAUUGAGCAGAUGAUGAACGAUGGGAUGUUUAGAAGCUUUUUGCAGUUCAUGAAAAAUCAGACGAGGGAGACUCGUGUUCAAAAUACAGGAGAAAAUGAUAGAAAUUCACGUUUUGUCACAGCCAAGCAGUUCAAAGAGUUGGGACCACUAUAAUUUAUUGGAAAGCCGGAUCCGAUCAAAGCAGAGACGUGGGUUAAACAAAUUACCAAGAUAUUCGAUGUCUUUGGAUGCACGGAGGAACAGAAGGUUCCAUUCGCCGCCUUUAUGUUCCGUGGCGAGGCAGACUACUGGUGGGAGUCUGUGAAGUGUACCCAUCUAGCCGCACUCAGCAUGUCUUGGGAGACAUUUUAGAAACUGUUCAAUGACAAGUACUUUCCUGAAAGUAUUCGUCAUAUGAAGGAGGUAGAGUUUAUUAGACUGGAGCAGAAUAACAUGACGGUGUCCCAGUACGAGGCGAAGUUUGAAGAGUUGUCCAUGUUUGCACCUCAUUUGGUGGAGAAUGAGGAACGUAUGACGCGGAUGUUUCUGAGAGGUUUGAAACCCAGCAUACGUCAAUAUCUCAUUUCUCAUAAAUUUUCUCUCUAUUCAGAUGUUGUCAACAGGGCUCAAUUAUUAGAGCGAGAUAACGAGUAUGGUCAACCGAG
rnacentral:lncRNA from 1 species